GAUCCUGCGUGAGGGCAUUUUAAACAUGCCCUUUUAUGUCACCAGUCGGGUCGGGAUGCGGGUCACCAAUAAAUACCCUCCAAAACACGAACGAAUCACAAUCGAAGUGAAAAAAUUCCAUCUUCCCAGGAUGGCAGUGAAUUUAAUAUCGAAGCUCCUCCGGAGAACUUCGCCGUCAUCGGCAACCCUCUCGGCGGCGCUGCACAAAGCUUCUCCAUCCGCCGGUCCUAUUUUUGCUCCACGAGUCAUGCCCGAUCUUGCGCCCCGUCCGAUCCCAUACUUCGGCGCCCCGAUGACGGAAGAGAAGGUCUAUUACCCUAGUUUCCCGUUUGGGCAGCUCUUAAACCCCAUUCCUGCAGGUUUGCUCGAUUCGGCUGAGACCGAGGUGGAAGAGGUUAUCGAUGAUGCUGCGGACAGGACCAUGCGAGCUGACAGUGUGAAGAAGAAGAGGAAGAAGAAGAUGAACAAGCACAAGUAUAAGAAGCUCCGUAAGCGUCUCAGGCGAAAAUCCAGGUCUUAAGUCCAAUUGUUAGGAAAUGAAUUGGGGGAUUUCUACUUUCUUUGUUUUAUCCGUUAUUGAAUAUUAGUAGUCAAGUUUGAUGAUAUAGCAUCACACCCCUUUCUGGAUUGGAACAGAUUGGAAAUGGUAGGCAUUGCAUUGCAUUGAACUUCGGUUGCCAUUGUUCUCCAAAUAAUUAACUGUUCAAAAGCUUAUCUUUUUAUUUGCAUCAGUCCCUGGUUUCUUUGAAAUUGAGCUUGAUGUAGACUUUGGAUUUCCUUAAGUAGGCUACCUACCCUCUUCUGAAUUCCCUUCAGUAGUUAGUUGAAGUCUAUGAUUGCUGCUCCUGUGCUGCUGAUGGUGGAAGCUCACCAGUUUUUGUGUUGAUAAUAGUUCAGUGAUUCCACGGUAGGUAAUUUUCAAUCCUCAUUUGUUACAGAGCUGUGUAGCACCCUCCAUUACUAGAAUAAGUGUAUAGAGCUAAUGCCUGCUUACUUGCUGCUAGGCUAUAUGGCAUGGUGUAAGGGUAGCUGCAAACAUGAAAGAGUUCUUGCUACUUGGCUAGAAUGCGAUACAUAUUGUGUACCAGCGUAAGAAUAGUUGUCGUCAUAAUGGAGUAGGAUUAGGAAGAUCUGCUGUUGCGAGGACAAGGUUUAAGCUGAAGAGUCGAUAAUAGUGUUGAUACUUUCGUGGCUAUACGGUACAUGUUAUCAGAUUUAAAAGUGAAGACUGUGUAAUCUAUGAACGUAUGAGCUGACUAGUUAUGAACGUUGUAAGUUUGCAGAAGAGCAUACUUGGUCAUCGUCCACUUUGUUCUUUAGCGUCUCUUAUGGGGUUUGCUCGUUUAGAUUGUGUAGUUGGUGGGUUUAGAGUGUGGUGUCGUGCUUCGAAUGACUAUGUUUCUUUAUGAUGUUGUCUCUCUUUAAGAUAUUUUACAGAACGAAUCUGCCCAGGAUACGCUUAUAACUGCAUACCCACUGGGCUCAUUUUCCCGUUUUGCGUGCUGACAACUGUGUAUGCGAUGCAGCAGCAGACACAUGAGGUUCUAUGUCUGCGAUUUCGCUACUGUAUCAGAGGUGAAAUCCGUGAAGUUUAAGGUUUAGUGGCACAACUGUUAUAGAAUUGGUUAAGGUUGGUUUAUAAAACACAGAUAAUACUUGAAUUGUGCAGAAAAGAGCUAGACUUGAACAUGCCGUUAUACUGAAAAUUUCCAGCAGAGUUGGUUGUAUCGGGUUUGUUCGUCUUUUGAUUUGACCGUACUGGCUUUUAAUAAUCGGUUGUUUGUCAAACCAGCGAAAAACCAACAGGUACCAUCUUGAAAACCAUGAUCGAUAUAACUCGUAUCGACACGACUUUUUCUAUAUAAUUCGAGUCUUUGCCAGACAUGUAUGUACUAAUAUCAGUAAUCAUAAUUCGAGUCUUUUCAGUGGUCGGUACGAUUCUACGAAUGACUGGUAUCGAAUUGUCAGUGCAAAGGUUUGUUCCAUGUAAGAUUGGAGACUCGCAAUGAAGAGUCUGAGAGAGUUGGAGAAGUGAUCUAGUUAACAAUGCAUUGAUUUUGUUUCAUGUGUAGAGUUUGGUUAUUAAGUUUAAUUAGUGUUUAGUUUUAAGCAGAAACCCCUAAUUAACUAUAACGUUAACAAGUUAUCCAAUUAGAGGGAAAUUGUCUAAGGCAAAACUCCUCACUUACAAACAAAAACUGAAGCUUUAUAUGUAAGUUACUCUUAGCAUUGAUACCUUCAUUCAUCAAAGAACUCAACCAAGAAAUGGCUCCUAGUUAUCCUACCAUCUCUUCCUUCUUCUUCUUGACCAUCCUCAUUGUGGCCCUCACUGUCGUCUCAAAACCGAUUCCUUCCCCCGCUCCGUCUGGCGGGAGCAAUCCGCAUUGCUUCGAGGAAUGUCUCAAACAAGCAUUCAACCACUCUCCUGCAGCACCAGCUCCUUUGCCUGCGAGUAAUCACAUCGUUAGCGGGAUGGAUUAUCGCUCGAUCCUAUGUAAAGACUUGGGGCGUGCGUAUUAUGACAGUGUCCGGAUCAAAGGAAAGCUUCCCCAGCGGUACCUCCUAGCACUGUGUAGAGUGCUGAAGGACCAGGGCAAGGUCGACGCAUAUGUCAAGGAGACAUUUCGUGAUCACGAUUUGGAGCAUCUCUUGGAUGGACAGUCUUGCGAAACAGUCACCGCAGCUGCAGGAAAGCACGAUCCGUGUUCCGUGGUUUGAGUUUAGAUAAUGUUUCUUGCUCUUGUUCUUGGUUUUACUUUUUCUUUUAUAUCUUUCUCUGGACUAUGAUGUAAAAGGAAAGGAUUGAGCUUUGCUAGUAGGUUUGUCAAACCUUGUUUUGUUUCCCUGGCUUUCUUAGAUACUAUUGUGUAAAGACUAAAAAACUACUAAAGAGAGGUGAUUAAUAACUCCAACCUACAUGAUUAUUUGAUGUUUAGGGCAAAUAUCUCGAUAUUUAUUUCCGUCCCUUCCUCGACAAUACAGGUCGAGCGUGGAGUAUGUUUGAUUGGAGCGUGAGUAUGGUCGAGUUCACAUCAUAGGGGUUAGCUUCAACUUCCACCAUGCUUCCACCAACACUUAGGCCACGCUUUCCGCUCCUCAACCUUCAGUUCCAACGGGAAUAUUAAAAUUCACUAGAAUUCGGUUUCAAUGUCACACAUUUGCCGAAUUUGGCAAUUCCGUACCUCUCCAAACAGAAGUCGGCGGAAUUAAGCCCCCAAAUGUCAUAUCUAACGGCAUCGAUGAUAUCGAUUUGUGGUUGCGAAAAAUAUGUCCGACAAAAUUGGUCUGACAUCUGAAAUUCGCCUGACUCGGCCAAUUCCGACACAUAAAACGUGUCCUUUUGCUGACCCUCUCAACAAGAAUAUGGAAUCAGGCGGCCUUCAAUCACGAUAAGCAUCCAUAUAGCCAAAUAAAUUUCCCUGUUCCCAACCGGCCGAUAACUAGCUUGAUUUCAAAACACACAUGGCAUCAUAUCACUAAUUAGCUAUUCAAGAUAGUUUCGCAUCUCAUUGCUCGAAAUCUCGAAUGGGAAGCUGUUUUGCUGUAAGUUCACAACUGGCGCCGACGCGGUAUGUUGCAGGCAAAUGAUUGGGGAAGUUUUGAGCCAUACAAACAAAAAGACAACAUUGGAUUGAGAAGUGGAGGUGAAAAUCAAAAGUCUCUCCCAAAGUGAUGAUUUUUACUAGUUGACAAACAUCUGCGAAUCUGUGGCUCUCAACAGUUUGAAUCAAAAUUACAAACUUUGCCACUUUCUUCUUCCAAAAACCUUUCCAAAAUACAAGGAAUGGAAGAAAAACCCUCUUUUUUCAACCCAGAAGAAAAAAGGAAUCAGCAGCUUGGGAGGAAAUGCAAAUCCAGGGCUUGCUUCAUUCUUCCUCUUCCAUCCAAAACCUAAUAUUUCCUCCCAAAGUUCCAAUCUUUCGCAAGAACCCAUGCCGGAUUUCACUUCCCAGGAUCUUGGAAUUGCAACAACCCUCUUCCCCUCCUCCUCCAAGCAUUUUGAAAUCCUCCAGACUUGUGAAAUGCUGCUGCAUUACCCCAGCUCAGGAAUUCGACAGUGUCAAUGCACCUGAUGAAGUGGUUGCAGAGGGAGUUGGAUUGGAGGGGCAGAGCUUGUGGGAGCAAAUGAAGGAGAUUGUGAAGUUUACAGGGCCAGCUGCUGGGUUAUGGCUAUGUUCGCCAUUGAUGAGCCUCAUUGACACUGUAGUCAUUGCCCAAGGGAGCUCUCUUGAGCUUGCUGCUUUGGGUAACGUUAAUUGUGUUUUGUUUUUUCUUCCUUCAAUCUUUUGUUUGUGGCAAAUUUGUGCUUAAUGUGGUCUUUUCUCAAACAAGACAGGUCCCGGGACAGUGUUAUGCGACAAUAUGAGCUAUGUGUUUAUGUUUCUCUCCAUUGCUACUUCAAACAUGGUUGCGACUUCCCUUGCCAAAGAGGUCAGCUUUCUUUCUUUCUUGGAACUCAUCUGCUUGUUUAAGAUUCUUCUUGGUACGUGUCGUGAACCAUUAUGUUCUAAUAACUCGAGUUGUUGGGAGAGAGUUCAACAUUAGUUAUAUAUUAUUUGGUUAGUUUGAAAUUGAUGAAAUUCAAUGUUGGUUUCAGGAUAAAGAAGAAGUGCAAUAUCAGCUGUCAGUGUUACUCUUCAUUGGCUUGACUUGUGGCAUCAUGAUGUUUCUGUUCACCAAGUUGUUUGGGCCAACUGUUUUAGCAGGUAAACAAGGAGAGAGAUCCACCAAGGAGAAUUCUUUUGUCAGAGUAGUUAAUCCAUCAUUCCUUUCUGGAAAUUUGAUUUAUUCCGCUUUCAUUGUUUCAUCUCACAGCUUUUGCCGGGUCGAAUAAUUCGCACAUUGUACCUGCAGCAAACACUUAUGUCCAGGUCUGUUCCCUCUUGAAUUCCUAUGUGUGUUUAGCAAAAAAUGCAUAAGUGAUAGGAUCUCUUGUUGACAGAUCCGAGGCUUGGCAUGGCCAGUGAUUCUUAUUGGAUGGGUUGCUCAAAGUGCAAGGUAAGAAAUUUCCAACUGCACUAACAUCUAAAAUGGGAGGAAAUCUCACUUGGUUUUCGGGAUGUUUUCAGCCUCGGGAUGAAGGAUUCUUUAGGGCCAUUGAAGGCGUUGAUAGCUGCCACUGCUGUGAAUGGAAUCGGUGAUGUAGUUCUAUGCAGAGUUCUUGGAUUUGGCAUAGCUGGUGCAGCAUGGGCAACACUUGCUUCACAAGUAAUCUAAAUGCACAUAUCAUUCUGAGACUACACCACCCUCAACUUGUUAGUUCCAUAGAAUAAACUUACAAUAAUAUCAACUGUCACCAGGUUGUUGCAGCUUGCAUGAUGAUGGAUUCACUGAACAAAAAGGGGUAUAAUGCAUACGCGAUCUCUGUUCCAACGACUGAUGACCUCGUCAAAAUAUUCGGGCUUGCUGCUCCGGUCUUCGUAAUGAUGAUCUCUAAGGUAUAUGGUACUAAGGUUCUCUAUCUCUUCUCAAUAGAGUAGUUGAUGGGAGAUACAUAAUCCCCACUUGUUUGUUCUAUGUCAGGUGGCUUUCUUCUCACUCCUUGUGUAUUGCACUACAUCAAUGAGCACACUUACUGUGGCUGCUCAUCAGGUCUUUUGAUCUACUCCUUCCUUCUUGCCUCUUUCUGCAAAAAAAAUCCAUCUUUCUUGUUUCCCAAUUUUGUAAUGGUGUUUCUUUUUGCCAACAAGGUUGUGAUUCAAGUGUUCAUGAUGGGGACAGUAUGGGGAGAACCCCUCUGUCAAACUGCUCAGACCUUCAUGCCCGAGCUGCUCUACGGAAUGAAGCAAAGUCUUGCGAGGGUAAGUGUGGAGAACCGUUCGUAAUUAGUUUAUAUAACAUUCAGGUUGUUUUUUAUGAACGAUAGUAAUAUUAAAAGUGAACCAGAGGUUCCGAAAGAAAGGAAACCAAAUAUCUCACGAGUCGAAAUCAUUGUCUACAAAAGUUCUAAUCCUAAAAAGGAUUGACUUGAGAACGAAACGUGACAACACUAUAACAUUCAGGUUGAUGUUGUUGAAAUUUAAACAGGCUAGGAUGCUGCUUAAAUCCCUCAUGAUCACCGGAACAAUCCUCGGACUCGGACUGGCAAUUCUGGGAACAUCUGUUCUUUGGUUCUUCCCCACUCUCUUCACCCCAGAUCUUGAGAUAAUUAGAGAGGUCAGUCUCUAAGUUGGUGGAAUUGACCAAUUCCUUGUUUUGUGUCACAAAAUGACUCGUGCAAUUCCGUCCGGAGUCUAAUUGUUUCGAGUAUUAGAGGUCUAAAUCCAAUUGUUUUUCAAUGCAGAUGCACAGAAUUCUGAUUCCCUAUUUUCUUGCACUGUCCGUGACGCCUUGCAGUCUCACCCUUGAAGGGACAUUGCUGGUACGCAAUGCUUCCAUUUCACUGGAAGAAACUCUGUGAACCGUCUUCAAAUAAAAAUGUCUGAUUCUCUAUCCUACUGCUGAAAUCUGCAGGCUGGAAGGGAUCUAAGAUUCAUUAGCCUAUCCAUGAGCGGGUGCUUUACGCUGGGUGCAUUGGCACUAUUGGUAAACUUUAACCACCUCUCCUUUCUUCUUCUGCAUUCAGAUUCGGGUGCUCAGUUGCUCAAGUGUUCAGUUUGUUUGCUCUCAUUGUUUCCACACAGAUUGUUAGCAGCAGAGGCUACGGCUUGCCAGGCUGUUGGUUCGUGAUGGUGGGAUUCCAAUGGGUAAGAAAGACACUACUAUUGAUACAACAUCAGAAUAUUAGCAGUUAUGGCUGGAGCCGGGCCGAAUUUCACCGGGCUCAAGCUCGAGCUGGAAAAAUGAAAUUCAUGUUGAGCUGGAGCCAACUCGAGUAUGGCUCAUUAGCUAUCAUUGGCAAAGCAAAACAAGCCAGAAUCGAGCUACACUCUGAUUAUGGCCAUUAGAAACCUCUAACGAGUACAACUUGAGCUAAAUUUGAAGAUUUUACACACAAAAAAUAAAAUAAUGAAUCCAACUAAAAAACAAGUUAUACUAAAGUUUACAAGCUUCUAACUUUUUCAUUUAAAAUUGUUCACAACAUAAACCAUGUACUACUUUGGUUUUCAUUAGCACAUGCAUAAGCUGUAUAUGAUUUAUAGUUGACGAGGCAAAACACAAAUUGUAUUGUUGGGCCUAUUAACGGUCAUAGAGUCGAGAUAUUAUUCGAGUUGGCUCUUAAGCUAGUGCUAUAGUCUGCUCGUGGCCCCAUUGAGUUGAACACACCUUGACUUAUGUUUGGCUCGUUUGAAGUCGAGCCGAGUCAAGUUUCUAGCAGCUUGGCUCAUUCGGGGUUUCUUUCUUAUUAUUUCUGAACUUAUGCAUUGCAGGCUCGAUUCUUGCUAGCACUCCAGCGGCUUCUUUCUCCAAGUGGCAUGCUUUUCCCUCAGGAUUUAAGCCCCCACAAGUUAAAAGCUGCUUAACUUCAGCAUUUCCAGAUUUGUUAGCUAGAAUUAAGCUGGUGAUCAUAUGACCAACCUGGUAUUUUAGCCCUGCUUGUCAAUCUGUAAAUACAUGGUCUAGUAUUUGUAAACUUUAGCCUUUGUUCAGAAACAUUAGUAGUAUGGCAAUGACAUUGGGAUUCUGCUUCCAUACAGUUUCAGAUGGAUAAAAUUCAAUAACAUAAUGAAUCAAAUCGAUUAGACUCGUUUUGGGAUGGAUUUUUAGCAGAAUGUUAACUCCAGGAGGCUACGGGUCUGGACGCACCGGUGGUUCAAGUAGCCAUGGUUCUGGACGUGGAGGUUGCGGUAGCUCUGGGUAUGGUCAUUCAAGAGGCAUUAGCAGCGGACUUAACCAUGAUCUAUGGUAGUUCUUCCCGCAGGUCAGACCGAGGUGACUCAUAUAAGAGCUAUGGGUCAGGAGGGCGUUCUAGUAGAUUCGAAUUCGACGAGGAAAAUUCAAAAUCGAGUUUUUAACUUUAUUUGGUCAUUAUUUACAUAUAUUAUCAUAGUAAUAUUUAUUUUUUUAGUCAUUUCCAACAUUUAGGUCAAUUAUUAGCCGAUUUAAAAAAUUUCAAUUUUCAUGUCAAAUUGUGAAUUUCCAUGGGUUACAAAUGAAUCAUUUUUCUGGUUAUUUUUAUCACACGGAAAUUGACAAUUUUGACAUGAAAAUUGAAAAUGUCUAAAAAUCCAAAUUUCAUCAUGUUAACCCCUUCAAAUAAUAGUCAAAUAAAGUUAAAAAAUAUUUUUUUUUCAAAUAAUAGUCAAAUAAAGUUAAAAAAUAUUUUGUUCAACACUAACAUAACAACGAGUAAAAUUGGAUUUUUAACUUCAUUUGACAAUUAUUUAGAGAGGUAUCAUAAUGAAACUUAAUUUUUAGUCAUCUCCAACAUGCAUGAGAUAUUUUAUCGGAUUUGCAGGUGUUAUGUUUAAUCUUGAACGUUUUCAAAUUGACUAAUUUUUUGCUAACAUUUUUUUCUGAGACUAUACUCAUACUUCACUACUUUAAACUUCAAAGUAAAUGAAAUUUUUUAGUUAAUAUUUAAUUUGAUUUAAUAUAAUUGAGUUGAGAUCCAGUUAAUUGGAUCCAGCAAAAUCGAAUCCGAAAGGAAAAAUAAUCCUUAAUAAAUCAUAAAAUAUGUCUUGGCUUUGUAUAGUUUUAACGAGAGAAGGUAGUUAAACUCGGAUACCAUCAAGUUAUUUAGAGAAAGGUGCAUGCAUACCUAUCAAGAAUCCGAUAUUGGUAUCAAAUUCGAUAACGAAACAAAUCCAGUACAACAUGUAACUUCUGCUGCAGAAUACAAUGAUCGAAACUAAGUAAAAAGCUUCAUCUUCUUCCUCUCUAUUGCUAUGCUAAAUAAGUAUUUGAAUCCCGCAGUAAAGCUGGUAACUUCGAACUAACAGAUUCAAGGUAAUUUCAUCACUUCGAUCCAUGAGCCUGCCGGGACCCUCCUACUUUCUAGUGUUUUCAUGUCAUCUCCUUCCACUAACAGAUGCAGCAGCUGAGUUACAAAAUCCAGAAAGUCACCUUCUUUCUGAAGCAUCCAUGGUCCCCUUAUUAAAUCUACUAUUGCCUCGGCGUCCACGUCCAUUCGUCCUCGGUUCGCGCUCGGCAAGAACUGCUGGCCUGAAUCUUGGUUUGUUCUGUUGUCUGACAAACAUUUUACGUUCCACCCUCCUCUUUUCCUCUGCCUUCAUUUUACUGAUGCUUGGCCUGUAUAUGAUUACAGUCCGACCAAUUUUACUAACCACGAUCGAGCCGGUUAGUUUCUGCAGUUGCUGCACCACUUCAUCUAGCUCGCCCGGACAUGUCCCGUGUAUUUUAAUCUGUUCAUGUACAAUGGAAACAGAACUCAAACUAGCUAGAAACAACACCAAGCUAAUGGAUAAUCAUAGAGUUCAAGCAACUGAUGGUUAAGUAGUUCAUAGAUGAUGAAUCAGGUUCUUAAUCAGUUCAUAGUAAGCAUAAGAAAUCCUAUUUACACAAGGAAUCAAUCUGCCACAUCUAUUAUCUCCCAUAACUAGUACUAAUCAUAAAGAGCAGGAACUUGAAGCAUUGCCUAGUUUCAACAACAGAGCUUAUGUAAAACUAAACUAUUCAUCAAAGAUGAUGAAUCAGAUUUUCAAUCAGUUCAAAGUAGAAUGAGAAAUCUAUUGUAUGAAAAGCACACAAGGAAUCAAUCUCCCACAGCUUGUACUAAUCAUAAAGUGCAGGAACUUGAAGCAUUGCCUAGUUUCAACUUUCAACCACAGAGCAAAUCAACAAAUGUGCAUUCUUCUGAUAUAGAAUUACUAACCUUGAGGAGUUCAUUGGCUUCAAGGGUCUCUAUGAAAGAAGUGGCGACAUUUUCCGUGACGCCAGACUUGCCUACUAGCUGACUCUUGAGUUUCUUCCCUAAUCCGUGGGCGUAAGAAGCUAACUCUUUCUUCUCCUUAACUGUUAAAUCCGGCAAUUUUGCCGCUACUACAGUUCUAUUCUUCGACUCUUCCUUCUCCAUAACAGCUAACCUCUCGCCUUCUCCUUCCCCUUCUCCUUCUUCUUCUUCUCCUUCUUCAUCUUCAUCUUCAUCCUCGAUUUCAUAGCCGAAUUCCUCCUCACUUUCCUCUACCUCGUCGCCUUCAAAUUCGCCGUCUUCUUCUUCUUCUUCCUCUAGAGCCAGAGAGUGCGAAGCUGCGGUUUGAGGAGCAAAGGAGAAGAGAGGAGAUGCGGUGCUGCUACCAAUGGGGUAUAUCUUGAAAUGUGGAUGAGAGAAGCCGGAUUUUGUGCUCCGGCUGGCGGCAGCUGUGCGAAUUGGACGGAAAAAGAAGGAGGUAGACGGUAGCUUCCUGAGUUCUGCGUGGAGGAGUGGCUGAAGGAAGGAUGAGGUAAUCGCCGCCGCCAUUGCAGUUCUGCAAAUGGAUUAUCUUCUUCGUUCCGAAAUUCAAAUUCCCCAAACAAAGUAUUAUUUUCUCCGUAAUUCUGGGGGAAAAAAAUAGAACUUUGUUGUAUCACAGUUUGAUCCUUGUUGUUUUUGGUUUUAACAUUUCAUACAACAAAAAAUAACUGCUGACAUGCUCAAUCAGUCCUUAAAUUAACUUACAUUGCCAUUCCGGUCCUUCAAUUAAUCACUUCACCAGGGUCAUAUUAAAUGGCCAUUUCAAUUUUUCAUAGCAUGAAUUCGAACACCUCGAUGGGACAGUCCUGGUCUCCUGGAUCCACCUCGGGCUCCUACCACAUUCCGACGCAACACCUCAAGGCACCCUGUCCAACAAAGCUUUUCGACCACGUAUAGGUUUGACCACCCUCUUUCGAUUCUUAAUUGGAUCUAUGACUUAUAAAUUUGUAUAAUCGAUUCUAAACUUGAUUAUAGAAAUUAUAAUCGAUUAUGGGACCUAUAACCAGACAUGAUCCAAAACGUGGACCCUGAAACCUCUGAUACAAUAAAAAAGAACGUUAUCAUAUCAGCAAAAUGUGGGGAUAUUGAGAUUUCAUACGAUUUCUUCCUCGCUUCCAUAAUAGCAAUGUGACAAACCAUCCGAGUUGGCAAUCUUUGUACAGAUUAGGAGGAACUUUCCAUUAUUAGGGACACUUGUCUCAAUUCGAAACAAAGACCUCGAUAUUAUUCAAAGUUAUGAUAUCAUAUCGAGUACUAUUACGUCUGAAUAACUUGAAUUGUUGGAAGGGUAUUUCAAAAAUUAGUUUUUGACCAAUACUCGCCCUAUAUAUAAUCGCAGGGCAUUAUGCAGCAAACACACAAGUCUAACAAGCUCUAUGGCGACAUCUCAGCUGGCUUUCUUAACUCUCAUGAUCAUACUGUUUCUGGUAAUGUUCUCAGUUGGCAUCAGAAUUUGUUAUUAUUCCUCUUUUGUUCUGCUUGAUCCAUCGUAUAACAUAAAUGGUUGGUGCAGCUGAUCAGUGGGAGCAGCAGUAGUACUGAUGCAAGGAAAGGCACGGCAGGAGAUCAGUACAGGAGAGGUAUCGAGACACGACCUCAAGUUUACCAAAUCUCGAGCUACGUGGAGAAGUACAGAGGUAAGUACGCUAGCAGUAUCGAAUCAGAACCUAAAAUCUCAAACUACGGAAACAGUGUCGAGAGUGGUAAGUUCAUGAGGGAUAUUCAGUCGCAACCCCAAAUUUCAAGCUACGAUGACAAAUGACAUCAUCAGAUCAAGGCAUGUAUCAGCUUAGCUAAGGUUAUGUGAUGAAAUUUGUCGCUUGUUUUCAUGAAUAAAAAGUAUUGUUAUCGUUGUAACACUAAGGCAGAAUUAGGGUGAGCCAAUCUGGGCUAUCGCCGUUUGUAAGAUUAUUGAAUUCUGAGAUUUAUGUUCAGUGUGUUUUCAAAUUAAGUUUUGAUCCUGAAGAUGAAGAUGAUAGGGAGGCUGGAAUAUUUUUCUGGCCAUUUCUCUUCUUGUUCUAUGAUCCUUUGGUACCUUUCAAGGCCAACAGUGCAGCUCCAUAGGCAGCUUCCGUGUGGAUUGCCCGGCUGACGGGCACCCCGAUCACCCUCUCCCUUAUCUGCAUCCAUUUGUUGUUCUUGGAUCCGCCUCCAGAAGUGAACACCUGUUCAACUUCGGUCGCGCCAAGCUCUUUCAACAACUUAUACGCCUUGCCCUGCAUCGCAACCAACCAACGAAACGACUACUGACAUCAGACUCGACCGAUAGAUGUUAUGAGAACUGAGUUUCUCCCCUUACCUCGAUUCGCGCAAUGGAUUCGAGGACGCCAUGUAGAUACUCAACAUCACUUUCUGGCCUUGGAUGUAGCCUGCACUCUCCAAACACAUACAUUCACAAUGUUUCAACUUAUAAAAAGCUCAGUGAUCGCUAUCUGUUCAUCAUCAAUUCGAUUCAAUACCUCGGAGCCAUGUCAGGAUCGGCCACGGGGAACCUCUCGCCAUUGGCCUUGAGCGGGUAGUAAUCGAGACCAGAAGGUUGCGCUGGAUCUAUACGUUCACUUAAUGUCUCCAACUGCUCAUCAGUAAACAGUGUUCUAAGGACCGCCCCUCCCGUGUUUGAUGCACCUCCGACCAGCCAUUUGUCAUCCAGGCGAUGGCUGUACACUCCAUACCUCGUGUCCUCGAUCCUCGUGUUGCUUAGUAGCUUAAUAGCAAGCGUGGAUCCCAGAGAGGUAACCUGAUAUUAUCGACAUAAACAAAUGAACUUUUUUCGACAUGAUUUUCGAUCCUAGAGCUGAUGUACAAGAAUGUGAAGUUUGGAAUUUGGUGUAACUUACUGCUUGACCAGGCUCUUUUGCUUGAGCUGCAAGAAAGGCGGCUACGCUAUCUGUUGUACCUGCGCAUACAACACAAUCUCCAGGAAAUCCUGGUACCACAAGGAUUUCUUCACCUUAUCAGCCAUAGCUUCAGAAACCUUAUGAGAGGCACUCAAUAACGUUGUUGGCUAGUGAAAAGAAUCAGAGAAAAUGCACAUGAAUCAUGAUAUUGGUUGUAUGUCUUAUCCAAAUAGUCUUUUCGAAUCUAAAAUCGAUUCACCGAGAAACUUCAGAAAUUGUUCCUCUUGGAAAGUUCAUGGAAGUUCAUAUCACAAUAUAAGAUGUGUAGUACUGCAACCACUAAGUUUAGAUAAAAAAAUCCAUACCAUAUUGAGUUCUAAUCUCGUCUAUCAAGCAACCGAUGGAAGUUCCAGGAGCUGUAACAGAUGGCAAAAGCUCCGAAUAUGGCUGAUUGAGCAGCCAUGGCGGGUAGGAUUCUGAUUCAGGAUCAUAACCAACCUGCAGACAACAACACAGCCAAGAAUCAAUCUCCCCAAUUAUCUCAUGGAAAGGCAACAACUUUCAUAAACAGACUAUGAUAAUACCUACCUUGAGAGCAUUAUUAUAAUCAGUUACUCCAACUCUCCCAUGGAGGAGCCACAGAAGCCAAUCUGCCUGGUGCAAUAACAGUGCAGCCGGUUUCUUUCUCGACGAACUGUUGUUAAUAUUCCACCAAGAAACAAGUUUGCAUAAUGUUGAGGAUCCGGAGCAGACUGUAUGGUUUGCAGGAGCGAUCGAUCUAAUGGCUGGCAGAGCAUCAGGACAGCUCUCGUUGUAUAGGAACGGCCUCCAUAGCGGCUCUCCUGUGUUUCUAGGAGAGUCAUAGAAAGAAACCAUUCAUUAUUUUGGGCAGAAAUGGAAUUCAAAGGAUGAACACAUAAACCUCACCUAUCCACAAUGAUUGUAGUUGCUGAUGUUCCAUCGAUGGAAAUUGCAGCAAUGAGUUGCUUGAGAUGGCUUGGAACAUCUUUUAGCAGUGAGAAGAGAGUCGUUCUCCAUGAACGUACCCAAUCCACUGUCUCUUCUUCAUUCUUCCUAGACAGCAUAGACACUGGUGACGAAAUCCUAGGUAAAUAUUUCAAAAUCGAAAGUUUUGCCUUUGCCUACUGUGUUUUCGAAUUUCGUCCAGUGUAGCUUUCAAACACACUGUAAACUUAAAUUCCCACUCAGGAUCUCCAACCAUUCGUACAGAAAAUUUGACAAGAGAUUCGAGCAAGCAGUCUUUACCUAGUAAAGUGGGUAUUCCUUUUUCCCUUGAGAAUGAAGCGUCCCUUGAUUGUCAACAAUGGUGUAGCGAGCACCAGAGGUUCCGAAAUCCAUGCCCAAGUAGAGCCUCUCCUUCCUUAACAACAAUUCCUUACCGUCCGAAGCCAUGACAGCUUGUGAACUUGGUUUUCUCACAGCUUUGUUUUUUUUUUUUUGAUAAAGUUUCUCACAGCUUUGUUCCAACACCCGAUUGUCAAUGUGGCUGCAGGAGGAGCAGUCAUGGCCAUGCUUUGAUGCUACUACUACUCUGUUUGCUUUUUCAUCUUUCUUAUCCCUCCCAUACGUAAAAACAAAAGCAAAUGCGUAUGUGGUUGACAUUUUUGCUUCACCUUUGAACUGGUUACAUUAUAUAUGGAAACGAACAGAUUGUUAACUUUUAUCUUCAUAAAUUACUUUUUUCCGUCGCAUUAUAACGUGAUUUACGAGCUAACUCAUCCACGACCUCAUUCCAUUUUUUCUUAAUCUUCAUAGAUCAGGCUCUGUAGUCUACUUACGGUAUAAUACAACUAAUCAUGAAUGUAGUUAUAUACAGAGAAAUCAUGAUACAGGAGUUCAUUGUUCUCUUUGUAAUGAAGAAGGAAAUAACAAGCAUCGCAGAAGUAGCAAGGAUUAUAUUUGGCCAAUUUGUCAUCCACCGUCACCUUCUUCGCUCUAAAUAUCUUGCAUAUGCUACAUUUGUGCCAGCGCACUUUCAGUCGAAAGCUCUCGAUCGGAUAAGCAGCUCGAUUCUGUGCAUCGUCAGGAUGAAUCAACCUCAUGUCUCGAAUCACUAUAGUAUGCUUGCAACCCCCCUGAUGACAGUAGAGAUAUGAAGCACCCAACUGAAACUUCAAAUCGCAAAAACGCAUGGUAUGCAUCUCAGCACGUCGGAAUACUGGUAAACUAGGGUUUGGCAUCUCGCCCACGAGAGCUUUGUGCUUGCGCUUUAGGUCUCCGCCUAUGAUGUACUCCCAUUUCUUAGAAACUUCUUCUUUUGAGUUGUUAAGCCAGUCGAAUAUCGGUUCACUAUAAUCUGUAGCAUUUUUUCCCCUCAUAUCAUUGAGGAACAAGUCCUGUAAAAAUAAAAGUAGCGCUAUAUAUAAGAUGGUAUCCUCGCACCAGAUUCACACUUUUAGAUUGAUUACAAUCUGAAGUUGAGUAGGACAUAUUACCUCGAUGAGAAAAUAUCCUGAAGCGUCAUAGAAUUCCGCCCUUUUCAUUAUUUCAUCUGUCUUGCAAUAGAUCCUGUCCUUCAGUUCGGUCAACAUUUGUCGCCCUAGCACCGAAAACUCUUGAGUCUGCAAACCCCAAACCAAAAUAGAUCAAACAACAACGCAACAAUUAACAUACUUGUUUUAAUAUUCGAGACUCAGAGACUAAACUAUAGUGAUAACAAUAGAAGCAUUUUGCAAGUUGCAACAGAAAAAAAGUCUUAACUACAUACAGUUCUCAUCACCAGAGAUUCGUCAGAAGCUUACCUUCUGCCAUUGAUGCACAUUAUGGUACACCUCCACAACCAGAACUACCUCAGGAAGUUGCACAGGUACUUCUUGUGUAAUAUCUGAGGUCUUCACAAGCUGCAAAUUAGAGCACAAGAGCAAGGAACAAAUUAGACAUAUCAUUCGCAAGAAUGGAGGAACAAGUUCCACGGAUUCCCAGAAGAAUUUUAUCUACAUAACACAAUAAAUAAAUACACCAUCGCAAUAUAACAUUCCCAAGCAUACCAGCAUAUUUGAGUUGACAGAUCUCAGAGAUUUCAUUAUCGCGCCACGUUCUGAAGAUGCACUAGAACCUUUGUUGACUUUGCACCCAGCACUAAAUUAAGACAAUAGCCACAAUGAGCACAAUAUCAUAGCAGAUGAUGCAUCUACUCGAAUUGAAAGAACUUUCACAAACCUGAGGGAAUGUAAUGUAGCUGUUCUUCUAUCUUCAUCCUGUUUCUGUUUGAUGCUCAGUAGCUCAUCUACUAUUGCAGGGUAGCUGUCCUGGAAGUGCAAUAAUAGGUUUCAGUUAUUUAAUGACAUAUUUGCACUUUCCUACCUAUAGGAGGGAAAAGCAAUGUCCUUCAAACAUAUAAUGAAAAUGCUAUGUUCACAUUUGGACCUUUGGAGCAUCAUAUAUAAAAUCGAAAAGGAUUUAUCACCAUUUGAUCACAUUCUCAAUGAAACUCUAAAGAGAUAUAUGGAAUUAUAUUGUUCACUUUAAGUAAUCAUGAAUAGGAUGGAGGGCACAAAAGCACAAAUUCUAAACUCGAUAGAUUCCCCAUUUUAGCAUGCAAUAACCAUCAAUUAUUUCAAACCUCUAGUCAUUGUCUCAAUAAACUACACAUGCUUGGAUAACAUACCUCUUCACCCUUUCCCUUUUUCUUCCUCGACUUCUUGCCCCUUGUGUUGCUAUUGGUUGCAGAUUUGGUUUCGGAAUGAGAUUCUGAAGUAACUGAAGCUCCAGCUUUUCUUCCGAAGGUUUUUGAACGAGUUUGCAUCUUGCUCGAUGUGCUAUGAUCACCCUCCACUCUGUUCAACAUAAAACUCAUAGCUAGUGAAGGAUUGGAUAGCACAACUACACCAAAAGGGAUCAUAGCUAGUGAAGCACAGAUGAACUCACCUAUCAAUCUGAUUCAGGUCGGAGGGAUGUGAACAACUUGCAUUUUCACUUCCAUCCUUUGAGCAAAAUAUCAGAAGAACAAUAGUAAGGUGGUAGAACUAAAAAAGAUAAAGAGCCAGAAGAAUGCUAAACAGGACGUACUUUGAAAACUUCCUUCAUUGCCAUCUCUACCAACUCCUCAUUGCUGAUAAUUCUAAUGUCAUCAACCCUGCAAAUUUCAAAUGUAAAGGUAAAACUGGGAAACUUAAUUCCAACAGAAAAAACAAAGAAACACUGAAAGGGUGGAAUGAAAUACGUGAUAUCAUCUUGGUUGCAGACUUCCGAAGAAUCAAAAUCCAAUUCAUCCUUCAGGCUCUGCUUCAAAUGAAAUUUACUAAUUUAGCGACAAAUCGAACUAUUUAUCUACUGGAAAAUCACAAACUUAACUUAGAUGCAAGGAUUACAAAAACUAAUUAAGAAUGCGCAGAGAAGGAGUGAGAGAGUAGAGGAACCUGGAGCGCACUGAGAACGGAAUCUUCGAACUCGGAAACUUGAGUGAGGGGACUGACCAAGUUAGACGUAUAUAAAGGACCGCCACGAGCAAUCAACAGAGGUGGCGCGUCAGCCUGUUCCACGUUGUCGUCGUCGUCCUCCUCCUCUGCAAAUUCAUCGCCAUAACACCCAUGGCUGGACUCCACUGCCCCUUCCACGUCCAUAUCCGGUGAGAACCAAACAACAGUCCGACCACCAGGAGGAAGGACCGAUGAAGUAGGCUAAUAGCGCAGGCGGAUUUUCGUGGCGGGAGGCGGAAGACGGCGGAACGAAGCCGCCGAAAAUGAGAGCCUGAUUUAUUCCCGAAAUGGGCUGGGUUUUCAGAAAACCCGAAUGUUUUUCACAAUGCUUUGUUUUGUUAGCCCAUUUUUCGAAUGGACCAAGUUGGGCCCACAUUACAAUUUGGAGUUUGUACAAAUUUUUCAAGAUAACAAUUAGAUUAUAAACCGAUUAAUAACAAUUCAUAGUUUCAUACACAUUUCAGGUAUUAAAGAUGGGUGAAGGAAAGCCGGUUAUGUAGAUAUUUGCUCCGUUACUUCACACAUAACACAUCAAAAUAUACAUUUCACAAACCCCAAACCCUAACCAUUCAACAUUUAGUAAACCGUAAAAGUCUAGAAACACCGACUACAACGCUAAAUUAUUAGACUGCAACAAUCCUAAAAUGNNNNNNNNNNNNNNNNNNNNNNNNNNNNNNNNNNNNNNNNNNNNNNNNNNNNNNNNNNNNNNNNNNNNNNNNNNNNNNNNNNNNNNNNNNNNNNNNNNNNNNNNNNNNNNNNNNNNNNNNNNNNNNNNNNNNNNNNNNNNNNNNNNNNNNNNNNNNNNNNNNNNNNNNNNNNNNNNNNNNNNNNNNNNNNNNNNNNNNNNNNNNNNNNNNNNNNNNNNNNNNNNNNNNNNNNNNNNNNNNNNNNNNNNNNNNNNNNNNNNNNNNNNNNNNNNNNNNNNNNNNNNNNNNNNNNNNNNNNNNNNNNNNNNNNNNNNNNNNNNNNUUUUUUUUUAGAUUAGGCCCUCUCCCAUUACGGAAAAAAAUAUGAUUAUUUGAAAAGCAAAAUUGGUUUCAAUUUGAUGAGAAAAUUUAAUGACACUAUGACAAAAAAAUAAAAAUAAAAAUCCCCAUGACGAUAAAUACACAAAUUAGGCCACAAUUUAAUCUCUCGUCUAAUUGGAAUGCAGAUUUGAAAAGAAAAUAGUGGUAAAUAUAUAAAAUCUACUAAUGAAGUUUAGAAUUAAUUGUGAUAAUUUAUUAUUGUCUCAAGAAAUGUUAUGGAAAAAUACAGAGAUCAAGUUGGGAAUAAAACCAAACCAAGUAUUCGGCAGUUCACAAAUCAUACAGUAAUCAAUUUUUUUAAAAAUAAAUAAAUACGAAAGAAAAAACAAAUUACAAAUCCCUCUCAAUCCCCUUUUUCUGUCUCUCCAAUCACUCUGCAACUCAUUUGUCCUCAAGGAGAAGCAAGAUUCUCUCUUCAUCGGGCAUCAAGCUUCUUCCUUCUCCUCUUCUUCUUCAUCAGAGGUUGCUGGCUUGCUUUGAGAUUGAGGGAACACAUACCCAAAUCCCCACAAUGUAUUGAUUUACUUUCCACUACAUCGCCAUGUGGUUUCUCUGACACAUUCUUUCCCUCCUUCAUUUCUUCUUCCGCCAUUUCGAUCGACUCCUCCUUACGUCUCCUGAGGCCAUUUCACUUGACUCAGUGAGUUGGCUGUGAGGUGAGGUGAGAGGAGCUAAGGUGGGUUUGGAGCAGCGUAUGGCAUCGUACCCCCGUGCGAGAAGAAGCAGCUCUCCGUUCUCCUACCGCAAGUCUUCCAGUCCUUACUCUCCCACUUCCUCCACUUCGUCUUACAUCAGCACCAACAGCCGUCUUCUCCCGCGCUCCUGCUCAUCAUUGGCUGCUUCUGACUACAGCUCCUUCGGAAGUGGUUACAACGCCCGAUCCGCGCCUCCCUGUGGGUCGAACUCGGAUUCAAUGUACUUGGGUGGUAGCUCAAGCGGUGGUUAUGGAAGUCGUACGCCGGUUGGUUACGGCUCCGAUGAGCUGGUUUCCGAGCCUCUUGAUGCUCCCAUCAGUGGCGAGAGUAUAUCGGUGACGAUUCGGUUUAGGCCGUUGAGGUAAACUGGUGGAUCUGAGUGGAGUGAAUUCGGAUCGGAAUCGGAUCUACCGUUGUCCUUUUCGGUAUACUGGUAGUUAAUGCGUUUGGCAACUGCCCCCACUCUCAUCCUGGUUGUUGUUUGGUUACAGUGAGAGGGAAUUUCAGAGAGGAGACGAGAUCGCCUGGUAUGCUGACGGAGAUAAGGCUGUCAGGAAUGAGUAUAAUCCAGCCUCGGCUUACGCAUUUGGUAUAGUGAUUUGAGAGGACUUGUCCUAUUUUUUGUGCUACUGUUGUAUUGGAUUAAUGAGUCUAAGUGUUUGGUAGAAUGGAGUGGAUUGGCAAUGCGGUCUAAGUGUUUGGUAGAGUGGAGUGGAUUGGCAAUCCUAAGUUUGGUUUGCAUCGUGCAGAUAAAGUAUUUGGACCACAUACAAAUACUGAAGACGUGUAUGAUAUUGCUGCAAGGCCAGUGGUCAAGGCUGCAAUGGAGGGAAUCAAUGGUAGGUAGUUCAUGUACGAACUUGGUGGGGGCCGGGGGGCAACAAGGAUAAACAGUGCAGAUUACAUAAUGUGAUUAAGUUGUUGGUGAAUAGCUCCCUACCAUUACGUACUGAGUGGUUUUUGCCCUCUUGCACAAUGUUUUCCAGGAACCGUGUUUGCCUAUGGUGUUACAAGUAGUGGAAAGACAUUCACCAUGCAUGUAAGUUGUACAUCUGGUUUACAUAGUUAUCUUUAAUAAUUUCUUAUGGUCCAAGACUAAUACAGAGAGAAAGGGAUAAGGUUGAAGUUUGAAAUUAUACAUUGCAGCUGUAUAUAUUUACUUGGAAUUUGCUUGCACUCAGUGAAAUAGCCAUUGUGGUGUCUAUACUGGGAAGUGGUUUGUUGGGAAUUUUGUUUGAGAUGCGGAGAAGCAAGUUCAGUUUUGAAGUUGAACUUUUUCUAUGGUUGCAGGCUGCAUAAUACUGAAAUUCUCUGUGCCAACUUGCCAUUUUGUUAAUAUGUGCAGGGAGAUCAAAGUGCUCCUGGCAUCAUACCAUUGGCCAUAAAGGACGUUUUCAGCAUGAUCCAAGAGGUAAACUGGGCGAUAGUUUUACUUAUCACUGGUUUGAAGCUAGUUUUGCAUCAUAGCAUGUGUCUCAAUAUUUGCUCUGUUUCUUAGCUCGUCCAAUUACUAGUGUCCAUUGCGUCUGAUGGAGAAAAUUCUAUUCUAGUUCGUUGACUGAUAGUGCUUGUACAAACACAAGCCAUGCGUGGGAUGCCAAUUGCCUCAUGAAACUUUAGGGAUGUAUGGGAACGAGCAGUGUUACUAGAUGCUCCCGGCAGUGAUUUAUGUCUGCCACUGCUUUUUAUUUGCGAUUUAUCUUUUAUGAGAACCCAACUAGUUGGUCAGGGAUUGAUAAUUCGUUUGAACAAUUUCUUCAGACUCCAGGAAGAGAGUUUCUGUUGCGGGUCUCAUAUCUUGAAAUUUACAACGAGGUCAGUUACAUACUAAAAUAUGUGUUCCUUCCUGACAUUAUUCAAUUCAUAUCUGCCCACUGAUUGGUUUCUCAUUUUCGCUUCUCAUUUCAGAUUAUAAAUGACUUACUAGAUCCAACAGGCCAAAAUUUGCGUGUUAGAGAAGAUGCACAGGUAUUUUGCUUAUAUUAACAUGUAUGAACAUCCCUUCUCUCUUGGUUGCUCUAAAGCUCUUAGAACCUUACGGCUUACCUCUUCGUAAAACUGGAACAAUUCUUCUGUUAGUGGAUGCAAUUUCUCUAAUUUCUUUUGUAAAUUCUUCACAUAGAUCAAUGAAAGGCAGUGUUUCUCUUACCUCAGUCUUCUAUUUCUUACAGGGCACUUAUGUUGAGGGUAUAAAGGAAGAAGUUGUUUUGUCUCCAGGACAUGCAUUGUCUUUCAUUGCUGCCGGAGAAGGUAUGGCUGUGGUAAAUUUAUAUGUAUCUAUAUACUUGAUUCAGAAGGUUCCUUAUGGCUAAUUUAAUUGCUAUGCGGCGAUUGCAGAACAUCGCCAUGUCGGUUCAAAUAAUUUCAACCUGUUCAGUAGUCGAAGUCACACCAUUUUCACACUUGUAAGCAUUCUGUUUGAGGAUGAUAGACCCGGAAUUUGAAUAAUGAAUUUAUAGCUGUAUUUUGGGCAGCUGUAUUGUUAUUUUCAUUGUUCUUUGAAAUUGAACAAGGAUCUAAUGGAGCUAACAUGGAUGUUAAAAUUCCCCUUCUCAGUUUCUGUAUCUAACGUAUCUUCCUGAAAUCAUUGCCUUACUUCUACAGAUGAUUGAAAGCAGUGCUCAUGGUGAUGAGUAUGAUGGUGUCAUUUUCUCUCAACUUGUAAGUUGUAGUGGCAGUCUCGUCGUACUACAUGAUCCAUCAAUCUUUUAUUUGCUUGCUUCAUCUUAUUGAUUUUGUGGUUCCCUUCGAACAGAACUUAAUUGAUCUUGCUGGAUCUGAGAGCUCGAAAACUGAAACAACUGGGUUGAGGAGAAAGGAAGGAGCUUACAUCAACAAAAGCCUUCUUACCCUUGGAACCGUAUGUGACUAAAAUCUAAACCAUACUCUGUCUUACACUUUCUCCCAUCAUUGGAUAUGUGUACGACAUCUGCAGUUAGCUUAACCGUAAGCUAUUUGAUAACUCCAAAGUUAAUGAUAGUAAACAAUGUUCUGUACAGUUUAGAGAUAAAUGUGCAGGUUGAUGAUUCUGGCACUGCUUUUCUUCUUUCUAACAUUAUUGUGGGAGUAUUUGUAGGAAUUACUUUUCGUGACCCCAUACAUGUCUAGGUCUCCACAGGGAACCAUACCUUUAUUCUUUUUUUCCCAUGUAUUUUUUCUCCUAUGAAGACUCUGAUUGGCAUAAUGGUUAAAAUAUUAGGUGAUAGGAAAGCUCAGUGAAGGGAAGUCAUCUCAUGUUCCAUAUCGAGAUUCUAAACUCACCCGCCUCUUGCAGUCAUCAUUGAGUGGCCAUGGACACGUUUCAGUAAGUUUGUAGCACAAUUGUACUUUUUUUUAACCAUGACUAAUUGCUUUCCACCUUGUUUUGGACAUCGUUGUUGUUAAGCUGAAGUUCCCAUCUUUUGACAUAAUUGUUCCUGAAUGGUUUUGCAGCUUAUUUGUACAAUUACUCCUGCAUCUAGUAACUUUGAGGAAACUCAUAAUACACUAAAGUUUGCUAGCAGAGCAAAGCGUGUGGAGAUCUAUGCUUCAAGGAACAAGGUAAGAAACUUCGCUUGUGAUGUGUUCUCCAUUCCAACUUGCGAAGGAAUUGUCAUUUUCAACUAUUGCUAACUUGUGCUCUGGUUUGAACGAGUUUUCCUUCAGAUUAUUGAUGAAAAGUCUCUAAUUAAGAAGUAUCAGAGAGAAAUCUCGACUCUUAAAGAGGAACUUGAUCAGUUAAAAAGUGGUAUGCUAGUUGGUGUGAGUCACGAGGAGAUUCUGAGCUUAAAACAGAAGGUAGUUUAAUUCCUGUUUGUGCUCUGUAUGCACACUUUUCCAAUUGGUGCUACUGUUUUCUGGUCGCUUAUUAGCCUCUGUGGGUGAUUUAAAGUUGGAAGAAGGACAAGUAAAGAUGCAAUCCAGAUUGGAAGAAGAGGAGGAAGCAAAGGCUGCUCUCAUGAGUAGAAUCCAGAGGUUAACCAAGCUUAUUCUUGUCUCUACAAAAAACUCAAUUCCUGGAUUGGGUGAUGUUCCUGCUCAUCAGCGGAGUCUCUCAGAUGAUGUAUGUUAUGCUUCCUGAUAUGUUACCAUACAGCAUGUCUGAGUUUUCCACUUUUCCUCUCGCAUUUUAUGCUUUUAUUAGUAAAGGUGAUCUUAGAAUUUAAUUGGUAAUUAUUCUGUUUCCUAAUAUCUUUUUCCACCGGUCAUGAGUUUAAGGUGACAAUAUCUUUACUUGGCUGUCUGAAACGUUUUAGUUUCACAAUGGUAUCAACAUUGUUGAAUUACAGAAAUAACUAGGAUAUUAUUAGGCGUAUCACUUAGUGUAAUCUAGCUAUCCUAUAGAAUCAGACUAGCCUGAUUUAGGCAGUGUAAUAAUAGUAAGUGGUAGGUAGGAAUUUAUCAACUGGGAUAUUGAGGACAAUAUGGUCCAGUCGUGGCUUCUGAAUUCAAUGACCACGUCCAUUGGUGAGAAAUUCCUUCUUCACCAAACUGCCCAUGAGAUCUGGGAUGGAGCUAGGCAUACAUACUCCAAUCAGGCAAACAAGGCUGAAGCUUUUGAGGUGGAGAUGCGACUCCAUGAUCUCAAACAAGGGGAAAAGUCAGUUACUCAGUACUAUGACGAACUGAGCAAAUGCUGGCUGCAGCAGGAUCUGUACGACGUACACCUAUGGAAGUGUACAGAAGAUGCAGAAUUGUAUCGACAAAUCCUCCAGACCAAACGGACCAUCCGUUUCCUCCUGGGACUGAAUCAGGCCCUCGAUGAGGCCAAGGGAAGGAUCAUGGGCCGUCUUCCUCUUCCAUCAGUCAGGGAGGCGUUCGCUGAAAUCAAAUGGGAAGAGAGCAGGAGGAAGCUCAUGAUCCCUGAGUCUAAAAGCAUUCCAGUGGAGGGUUCUGCCCUGGCCACUCACUACACUGGAAAUCAAGGGACUGCUUACACCAAGUCUGGAAAGGUGCGUCCACAGUGUACUCACUGUAACAAGAUAGGACACACUAAGGACACCUGCUGGAAACUACAUGGGAAGCCUGCUGACUGGAAACCUAAGGCAGAGAGGGAGGCUCAUGCACAGGCUGCUGCCGCUGAGCAAACUCAACAGAUUGGUCAGAUGACCAGAGAACAACUGGAGAUCCUCCAGCAGAUGAUGGCUCAAUUCACGGCUAAGAAGGCAUCUGCAGGCCCCUCUGAAACUCACCACAGCCUGUUUGCUAGGCAAGGUAUAAAUUCUACUGCUUUACUCGCCCUAAAUCAGUUCAAACAACACUGGAUAUUAGAUUCUGGAGCUACUGAACACAUGACUGGUUCUAGACAGCUACUCCACAAUAUCCAGGCUCAUGUAGGGAAAGCAGGAGUUCGUAUCGCGGAUGGAACCAUAGCUCCAGUCGAAGGAAUUGGGACAGCCUACCUGACCCCUAAUCAGGCUGUGUUCCCUGUUCUAUACGUUCCAAAGCUAAAUUGCAAUCUGAUUUCUGUUAGUCAGAUUACACAGGAUCUUAAAUGUCGACUAACCUGUGACCCAUCACAAUGUGUAUUGCAGGAGGUGGGAUCUCAGAGGAUGAUUGGCAGGUUUGAGCUGUGUGAUGGACUGUACUGUCUAAAGACAAUAAGCGGACUAAGACCAGGGGGAGAGGGUUCCAAGUCAGCAUACUUAAGUUCUAGGUCAAGCCAGUUAGAAUGCCCCGUCAUGAUGUGGCAUUACCGGUUAGGCCACUCUAGUUUCUCUUAUCUCAAAAAACUGUUUCCUAAACUUUUUAUCAAUAAAAAUCCGAGUUCAUUCUAUUGUGAGGUUUGUCAACUUGCAAAACAAACAAAGAUCGUCUAUCAUAGUCUGCCAUAUAAGCCAACACAUCCUUUUUCCAUUAUUCACAGUGACAUUUGGGGUCCAUGUUCUGUAAAAACAAGUAAUGGUUUUCGAUGGUUCAUCACCUUCAUCGAUGAUCAUACUCGCUUAACAUGGACAUACCUAAUGAAAUCAAAGACUGAAACCCAACAAAUUUUCCAAAACUUCCAAAAUCAAGUCAAAACUCAGUUUCAAACACCUAUUCGAGUUCUUCACACUGAUAAUGCAAAAGAUUAUUUCAAUCACUCCUUAAGCUCGUUCCUGACAGCCAAUGGCAUUGCUCACAGCAGCUCUUGCCCUUACACUCCCCAGCAAAACGGUAUUGCUGAACGCAAAAACCGUCAUUUGCUGGAAGUGGCAAGAGCAUCGCUGUUUGCUGCUAAGGCGCCAAAGAGCUUGUGGGGUGAUGCUGUCCUCACAGCAACCUAUCUUAUCAAUCGUCUUCCAAAUCGAACCCUACGAUUUAAAACUCCUCGUAGUGUUCUACUCAAAAACUUUCCCCAUAGUCAUGCUCUAUCAACCAAUCUUCCUCUUAGGGUAUUUGGAUGUACAGCCUUUGUCCAUUUAGAUUCCUCCCUACGUACUAAACUCGAUCCUAGAGCAGUCAAAUGUGUUUUUCUGGGAUAUUCCCCUCAUCACAGUGGUUACAAGUGUUACUCUCCAAGUGACCACAAAGUCUAUCAUUCGAAAAAUGUCACGUUUUUUGAACACCAUCCUUUCUACUCCCACUGUCAGCCUCAGGGGGAGAAUUCUACUGUUGAGUCCUCCAUUGGUAGCAUUAUCACCUUGGAAUCAUCCCCUGUCAUUCUAGAGUCUCCUAAAGUAGCCAAAAAUCCCUCCACAGAACAUAACAGUCAAAUCCCUCCGCUUCUGGUCUAUCAGCGUAGGAAGAAGACUGCAGGAAACACACAUGCUCAGCCUGACCAGGAAUUCAAUGAGAUCUCAGCCUCCCAAGAAGGUGAAUCAGCACAAAUGGAUCAGGGGGUUGAAUCUAGUGAUGGGGUUGAGAACGGUGGUCAAACGGAGGAAACAGAUGAAACUCAGACUGCUGACAUAGAGGAAACACAGGUAGAUGAUACAGUCUACCUUCCAAUUGCUCACAGAAAAGGAACUAGAUCGUGCACAACUCAUCCUAUUGAAAGAUGGGUUUCAUAUGGAAAUCUAAGCCAGAAGUACAAGGCGUUUGUGGGAACUCUUGACAACACAGAAAUCCCUCACUCCAUCGAAGAAGCUAUGAAAAUACCUCACUGGAGGGCAGCAGUGUUGGAAGAGAUAAGAGCAUUGCUCAAGAAUCAGACGUGGGAUACAGUACAGCUACCAGCUGGAAAAUCCACAGUGGAUUGCAAAUGGAUAUUCACAGUGAAGUAUACCUCAGAAGGAAAGAUUGAGAGGUAUAAGGCUCGUCUUGUAGCCAGAGGAUUCACACAGUGCUAUGGAGUGGACUACGAGGAGACAUUUGCUCCUGUAGCCAAGCUAAAAACUGUGAGAGUCCUUCUAAGCAUUGCAGUAAAUCUAGAUUGGCCCCUAUACCAAUUAGAUGUGAAGAAUGCGUUCCUAAACGGGGAUCUAAACGAAGAGGUGUAUAUGAAUGUCCCGGCAGGUGUUGCCACUGAACCGGGAAUGGUGUGCAGACUGAAGAAGGCACUGUAUGGCCUGAAGCAAUCUCCGCGAGCGUGGUUUGAGAGGUUCUCUCAGUCCAUGAAGAGAUACGGGUAUUAUCAGUGUCAAACUGAUCAUACCAUGUUUGUAAAGCAAAAUGAGGAAGGAAGAAAAGCCAUCCUCAUUGUAUAUGUUGAUGACAUUAUCAUCACAGGGGAUGAUGAAAAAGAAAUCAGACAGCUUAAGGAGAAGCUAGCACUGGAAUUCGAGAUAAAAGACCUAGGAAAUUUGAGGUAUUUCCUAGGUAUUGAAGUGGCACGAUCUAGUAAGGGACUAAGUUUAUCCCAGCGGAAAUACGUCUUAGAUUUGUUAAAGGAGACUGGGAUGAUUGGGUGCAAACCUGCGAGCACGCCAAUGGAGCACAACUUGAAGUUUGCUCUUGGCCAAGAAGCAGCACCAGUGGAGAGGGGGAGUUACCAGAAAUUGGUAGGAAAGCUAAUAUACUUAGCUCACACACGUCCAGAUAUCUCGUUUCCAGUAAGCAUUGUGAGCCAACAUAUGCACAAUCCAAAUGAAGAGCAUAUGGAGGCAGUGAUGAGAAUUUUAAGGUAUUUAAAAGGCACACCAGGUGUUGGGUUGCUGAUCCAGAAACACACUGGACGCAGAAUUUCGAUUUAUACGGAUGCGAGUUGGGCUGGAGACCUUACAGAUAGAAGGUCAAUCUCAGCUUACUGCACCUACGUAUGGGGGAACUUAGUGACCUGGCGGAGUAAGAAACAAACGGUGGUCUCAAGGAGCAGUGCUGAAGCAGAGUAUAGGGCACUGGCAGAUGGGAUUUGUGAAGGAGUUUGGCUAAGGCGCAUUCUAAGGGAACUCAAGAUGGAGGAUGAGGGUCCUGUUAGAGUGCUGUGUGACAGUCAGGCUGCACUAAGCAUUGUGAAGAAUCCAGUUCAUCAUGAUCGAACUAAACAUGUUGAACUGGAUCGUCAUUUUAUUUAUGAGAAAGUAAACAACAAGGAGUUCGAGAUGGAGUACGUUCCAUCUAAGCAGCAGAUUGCAGAUAUUCUCACGAAGGCUCUACCUAGAGAUAUGUUCGAUGAUCUACAAGGCAAGCUUGGCCUCCAUAACAUCUACAGCCAAGCUUGAGGGGGAGUGUUGAAUUACAGAAAUAACUAGGAUAUUAUUAGGCGUAUCACUUAGUGUAAUCUAGCUAUCCUAUAGAAUCAGACUAGCCUGAUUUAGGCAGUGUAAUCAUAGUAAGUGGUAGGUAGGAUUAAUCCCUGAUUUGUAGGGAUCACUACUAGCUGGAUCUGCAUCCUAAUGAUGCAGACUGUGUAUAUAUGUAAAGAAAACCACAGAAAUAAACAUCAAUCAUACCAGAAUCACUCAGAGUUCUGGAUUUCUGCAAACAUUAUGAAUUACGGUGACUCCUUAAUUGAGGCAGUGGGGUUGUUUGGCAUUCUCUUAUUCAACCUUUUUUCUCAUUUCACUUGCAGCAAUCAUUUCUAAAAAUGUAUCUUCUGUUCUAGAAGAUAAUAUAUAAGUGAAACCAAGCUGCAUAUGCGUUUUUUGCAAUUUGUCAAUAGCCAGCUUUGAGUAAUAUAUACUGUGCAUAUGUGGCACUGGUUAUCCCAUGUCAUUCUCUUCCCAUUCUGUAAUAUAAGCCUGGGGUUAAUCUCUUGCUUGUCUUAUAUGGCUAGAAACUGGAUGUCCUGCGAGAUGGCACAUUGCUUCUGGACAGUGAGAACAAGGAAUCUGCAUCUUCUGUGACUGCACUUUCAUCAGAUCUAAUGCAUGAAUCCAUGCAUAGAAGAUCAUCUGGCAAGUGGAAUCAGGAACUUUCACCUGCAUGCAGCACAGCUACUGAGUCAACCGCUGGUGGAUUCAUUAGCUCUUCAAAAUUGGCAACAGUAUGUGCUGCUUGUUGCAUUCCCUUUUUCUGAUGAAUCGAUACUAAUAGUAUCAUUGAUUGAUCAAGCUAUCUGAAAAUUGAAAUUUCGCCUAAUUGGUUUUAACUAGACAAAAAAGCAGUUUUUAAAUUUGAGCGGUUCUAUAUCCUGAUUCUUAUUUAUAGUAUUACAACUAGGGAUGUAGUUCCUAACGUUCCCAGUUCUCGGUACUUGGUUCAGUCUCUUGAGUUGCUGAAGACUUGUGACACUUCCAUAUUGCAGAGUGGACUGACUGAAGAUCAGAUGGACCUUCUAGUUGAGCAAGUCAAGAUGCUUGCUGGAGAGAUUGCAUUCAGCACUAGUACUCUGAAGCGCUUAGUGGAGCAAUCUGUUAAUGAUCCUGAUAGCUCGAAAACUCAAGUAUGUUGAUAUGAUAUUUUUUCUCAAUCCUAUACUUGGAAUUUGGUUUCAAAGUACAAAGAGAAUGGUGUUGUGUCAGUGCGUUGAAUAGAUAUAUUGAUGAAACCUGCACACCUAUUCCUCUCUGUUUUUGUUGAAAGACAUUCAUUUCCAAUGUUGAAAAUUAUUGCUUAUCUGUAUGCAACUUUCUGUGGGAUUCUCGAGUUUGUGCAUCUAAUAGGUGUAGUGUUAAUGAUUUACCAUGCACAUAUAAAAAUUGGUACCGUCCUUCUCUUGGUUGGUGUAUUCUAGUUAAAAUGUUGAGCAAAUUGCAAAUAUUGGAUUUUCCAGCACAUUGAUUCAUCUUACUUUUUAUUCUGCAACCUACUAAUUUUUGAAGUUGUCGCACGGUGGUACUUGUAUCGAUUGAUAUAUUGAUCCUAAUAUAUCUCCUUUAUAGAUCCAGAACUUGGAACGUGAGAUCCAGGAAAAGAGAAGGCAAAUGAGAGCACUAGAACAACGCAUUAUUGAGAGUGGGGAGGCUUCAAUUGCCAAUGGUUCAUUGGUUGACAUGCAGCAGGUUCCUUGUCGCUUGUUUCAGCCAUUGUGUAACUCCUUUUAACUGACGACACUAUACUAAUUCAAUUGUCUGAAUGACUUGUACCGCUACAGACAGUCAUGCAGUUGAUGACUCAAUGCAAUCAACAGGCUUUUGAGCUUGAGGUGAGAACUUUCUGUUGCACCUACCUUGUACUUAACACAUCGGUUGGCACUUUGAUUUAUCUUGAAUGUUGUUCAUCUUUUUGUCACUGGCAUAGAAGCAUUAUCUGCUUUUAGGUUUUAUUUUGGUUGGACUCAGCGAUGACUAUUUCACAGAUGAAAUCUGGAAAAGGAGGGGUUCAGUACUUAAAUUAUUAGUUCUCUUUUAAUGCAGAUAAAAUCAGCUGACAAUCGUAUCCUCCAGGAGCAACUGCAGACUAAGGUAAGUCCAACCUUGGUCCUUUGUGAAUUUAUGUUUAUGAUCGACUAAAGUGUAACUAGUUUGGUGUGCCUAAUUUGAACCAUGUUUAGUAGCCAUCAACCUAGUUGCUACUGUCAUUGUUUUGGUUGUGGGGAGGGUUUCUGCAAGAUUUGAGUGCUAAUAUUCCAUCUGUUUAAUGAUCAUUACCAGUGUUUGGAGAUUAAGGAAUUGCAAGACAAGACCAAUCUUCUGGAACAGCAGUUGGCAUCACUAUCCAGUGACAAGUCGUUACGAACUUCUGGACAAUCGGUGCCUGAAGAAUUUCUUGACGAAUUGAAGAAGAAAGUUCAGUCACAGGUAAUAAUGUGGUGGAAAUUGGUUACGAGUAAUAUAAAAGCUCAGUCAUAGUUGCUUAAUUUUAAACUCUUCUUGGUUUGAGCAGGAGAUUGCAAAUGAAAAGUUGAAGAUAGAGCAUGUUCAGAUUUCAGAGGAGAACAGUGGAUUACGUGUGCAGAACCAGAAGCUGGGUGAAGAAGCUUAUUAUGCAAAGGAACUGGCAUCUGCUGCUGCAGUUGAGCUAAAAAAUUUGGCUGGUGAAGUCACCAAGUUAUCCUUGCAGAAUACUAAGUUGGAAAAAGAACUGUUGGCUGCUCGUGAGCUGUUGCAAUCUCGAUCUGCCGUUGCACAAAAUGGUAGCAGCCGCAAAUAUAAUGACGGAAUAAGAUCCGGGAGGAAAGGCCGGUUCUCUGGCAGGGGAAACGAAAUGCAAAUGCACUCGGAUGACUUUGAGUCGUGGGAUCUUGAUCCUAAUGAUAUGAAGAUGGAAUUGCAGGCAAGGAAACAGCGAGAGGUAGCACUUGAGGCUGCCUUGGCUGAAAAGGAACUCAUAGAAGAUGAGUACAGGAAACGUGCUGAAGAAGCAAAACAAAGGGAAGAAUCGUUGGAGAAUGACUUGGCAAACAUGUGGGUGCUUGUUGCUAAGUUGAAGAAGGAAGGAGGAAAUGUCACCGAGUUUAACACUGACGAGAGGACCAGUACUGGAGCUGGGAAUCACACAAGUGAACCGGAAUCGAACGGGUUUGAGCAUGGUUCGGUCUUGAGAGAAAGACAAGUCAGCAGCGAUGAUUCGAAGCGAGCCGAUGAAAUGCAAAAGGAAGAGCCGUUGGUUGUUCGUUUGAAGGUAAAAGUACAUAACCAAGAAAGGAUUGUUGUUGUUUUCUUUCACUAUUUUUGGCUGUCAGCUUCACUGAAAGAUUUUUUGGGAUUUGCUUGUUCCCAUUUCAGGCGCGGAUGCAAGAGAUGAAAGAAAAAGAACUGAAACAGUCUCGAAAUGGAGAUGCCAAUUCUCACAUCUGUAAAGUAUGUUUUGAAUCAGCAACAGCAGCAAUUCUUCUUCCAUGCCGCCAUUUUUGCUGUAAGUAAACUACUAUUUCCUCGACACAACUGGUACUUCCUUUCCUUCCCCAUUUGUCCGGAAAGGUGAUAUAUUCUGUGUCCUGCUACAAAUUUUGCAGUGUGUAAAUCUUGUUCUCUUGCCUGUUCCGAGUGUCCAAUCUGCCGGACCAAGAUUGCAGAUAGGCUUUUCGCAUUCACUUCCUGACAAUUCCCCCUUUCUCCAAACGAACUAUCAGACCCUGAAUCGAAAGCUCCGUAAGCUUCCUUGCAUCCAUAUGUUCUGUUGCAUUUCUCUUGUUCUGAGUAAAAUUGUUCGGAUUAAAAUGCAUCCUGGCCACUUAAGUGUGGCAUUUGGUGCGUACCAACCACUAAUGUUUGAUCCAAGCCCCAGAUGCCACUUGCGUUUAUUCUUAUCACUUGUCAAAUUUUGUCCAUCUUACCAAGUACAAAAUCCCUACGUGUUAUUUGACUAGAUAAAUGAAUAAAAUAAAAACAUCUCUAGUUAGUAGACUAGAAGGAAGAUUUGAAAUUUAUCAGUGAUAUCAAAUAUAAAUGUAAAUGGCAUCCAGUCCUCGACAAAUAUAUGUUGUGGUUAGUAUGCACCGAAUACCGAAUGUCAAGUAUAAGUGACAUCCAGUGCAUUUUACUCCAUCUCUCUCGUUGCGGUUCUCAUCGUUCCAACUGUUUGCGUCUGUAGACCUGCUUAUAACAGGGCCGUCACCACUUAACGUUAAGGCGAGAAGCAAAAUAGUAGCUGGGAGCGUUGCGGGAUUCAUUCAUUACUUUGGUGUAUAUGCAAAUGUCUAAAAAGGUAUACUUCAACAUUGGUUACUCUUUCAUGUUGAGCACCCUCAGGCCCUCAAGCACUGUAAAAAAUAAGACAUUCAGAGGAGGAACAACCAUGAUCAACAAACAAUGAAAGAUUUAUUGCUUUUGGUACAGAGGGUCAAAUGUUUAAAAGGUUCUGUAACUUUAGCGGGAUAACAUAUCGAUUUCGGAAUUUACAAUUUGAGACCAUCCUGGUCGGUCCUAUUUGGAAGCUUUCGAAAAUGGUACAAAAUAUUUAGGAGGCUCAGAUGUACCGGAGUUUAAUCGGGUCGGACUGCCCGAAGAGUGAUGUCGGUAUUCUCGGCAUAAAAAGAUUAUUCUUUGAAGACUCUAAAGCUGGGAAUAAAACUGAUAAAUGUGUGAUUGGGAAUGCAGAGAGCUUUAUGGAAUUGAUUUUUUGAUUCUUCAAAAAGCACUUUCAUGGAACGGUUUGCAUGACUUUCAAACGGAUCACCACCCAAUGUGGGAAGUAAGGGUCCAAUGGCUCUAACUUUCCUGAAACUUUGUAAAGUGCCAAAAAACAAAAGAAAAACAAUUAUCAUCAAUCACUUUUUCAACUGUCAAGAUAAUCGUUGGGGGUGACACCAUCGGCAGAGUCAGAAAAUUAAAUAAAAAAUUUUGAAAUUCAUAUCUAAUAACAUUUGGUGGAAAAUGGCUAGAAAUUUAAGUUAAAAUUUUUGUAGUUGAAAGAACAUACAUCCUCACUAAUAACAACCAUCAAAACUCUUAAAUUUUUUUUAAUUUUAUUUGAAUAUUAUUGGAAGGGUUUAACAUGAUAGUAAAGAAUCAAUGUUUAACCAUUUCCAACAUACAUGUUAAAUAUUAUCCAAUUUAAAAUUUUUUAAUUUUCAUAUUAAAAUUGGUCAAGUUUCAAAGGGAACACCUAUGUAAAUUGAUCAUUUUUAUAAAAAAUUGAAAAUUUUCUAAUAUUUGAUAUGUAUGUUGGAAAUUAUUAAAAAUUGAUUUUUUAUCAUCAUGUUAAAUCAUUCCAAUAAUAUUUAAAUAAAGUUAAAAAUCAAUUUUAGUUGGUGUUAUUUUUGUGAUAGAAAUUUAUUGUCCAGUUUAGUAUUUCAGUCAUUACUCUCCCACCAGAACUCUGAUUGAUAUAAGGGUGUUGGAAAGAUAAUUCAAUUACCUUUCUAUCCAUAUUUUAUGGGUCAUUAGAUUCGAAGAGAUCAAUGAAAUAUGCUCAAUUAAUAUUUGACGGCAUGAAUACUAAAUACUAAAAUAUGAAGGUUUUAAAAAAAAUUAUUUAUAAGCUAAGGGGUUCUGCCCAAACCUCUACAUCCUUAAUAACUCCGCCGUUGGUGGCUCGGAAUUGGUGCGCAAUAGGUUGGCUCUACGGAAUACUCGACGCAAUAUUGGUAGCGGGUUAUUGUAGCGGAAGUCUUAGGUGUACUUGCUUGCGAAUUUUAGAAUACACUUUGCAAGUGGUUCUACUAUAUAUUGGCGGAACUAUCUAUUCAGUGGUGAGGGAGACGCUCGUACAUUGCUCCGAUACUACUAGAUAUGAUCUCCGGUCUGAAUAAAGUGAUGCGAUGUCGAUACAUUCUCCAUAGUUCCUUCUCUUGAAACGAAAGAAAACUGAUUCCUUUUUCCUUUACCACCUUUUUCUCUAUAAAUCAAAACCCGCAAAGCUGCAAUCAUUUCACAUAGUAAGCCGAAACCGUCACAAUACAAGAGCUCGCAGAGAAAAAUGGGCAUUCUGGGUAUUUCAUCUUCUGUGACACUCUGUUUUCUAGUGCUCUGUUUUUCCCCGCCUCACUCUGCGAUGGCGGCCACACCAGCAGCUUCGUCAGGAAACUUCAGAAGUCGGUCGACAUGCCUCUCCACUGCGACGUCUUCCGGCAUCCUUCCGGCUACAAUGCUCCCCAGCAGGUUCAGUAAUUUGUUCUACAUCCUUAUUCAAUUCGGUUUGGUUCGGUUUGAUUCAGUUUGAUUUCUUUGUUUCUGAAGGUGCACAUAACGCUAGGGGAUCAUGAAGGUAAGGGGAUGAUAGUUUCAUGGGUGACGAUGGAUGAACCGGGUUCGAGUAAAGUUGUUUACAGGAAGGAUGAGAGCAGUGAGCCGAAGAAGAAGGUUGCUGUGGGGAAACAUAAGAUUUACAAGUACUAUAACUACACUUCUGGCUACAUUCACCAUUGCACCAUUCGGAACUUGGAGGUAAUCGAGCUUUCCAUUUUAAGGUUUGUAACAUGCUUAGAACGAAUUUCAAAGAGCUCGAACUGUGAUAGAACCAUGGAGUUCCAUACCCACCCGUUGCCAUCCUCAGGUAUCAAGAAAUCAGACCAGAACUCAGGGCUUCCAUAUAUUAGUUCCCCCCUCAGCAGUGAAAGAGGGUGUCUUUUAAGAUUAUAGACAGAUGAACCAGCAUUACCACCCUAUAUAUGUUCAUAUUAUACAACCCUAAACACUAGUGACCAAACUCAACAAGGAUACAUGGGUGGCAAAUAACCAAAAUUCUACAUAAAAGACCAACACUCUAGACAUGACCAAAUUCUCAUCCUAAGUUUCUUCUCUCGGCGAGUUCUAAAAGCACCCUUUUAUCGCCGACGCCUCCUCUUUGUUUCCACCUGGGAGGAACAUCAGAUCGAGAUGUUAACGAAAGCAUUGGAAAGAAAUCUGUGUUUGUUUGACAUGGUAAGAACAUUAGAUAUUGUGAUAUGGAUUGAAUUACCUUGGCAUCUGAUUCACUUGGAGUAGUGGCUGUAGCAUGUGAAUUCUGCAAGUUCUUUUGGACUUGGGAUGAGCAAGUCUCGCAGAAGAAGUGGUCUAAUCGUUUGGCUUCCUCAACCGUCAUUUCUAUACAAGCAGGAUGAAACCUGAAUCAAGAAAAAUGAGCAUGCAAAAAUCAAUUGCAGAUUCGAUGUUUAGAAGAACAAAACUCCAAUUUUGUAACACUCGGAAGCAUCCGAGAUAGCAAAUUGUGGCUCUGCAACCAGAUGCGAAAUAUAUUCGACAAUAAGUUGAUAAUCACAUUGUCAGAUACUUUGCAUCUUAUUUAUAGCCACUUACAAGUAGGGGAAUUGAGCUAGGUUCCCCAAUUAUGUGUCAACCAUAGAUCCCUAUAUAAUUUAUAAACACACUGUCUACAAGACAAGAACUUCAUCUGUUCCUAUCCUAUGGACAUAAAGAUUAUACCUUUCUUCAUCAACCGAGACAUGCAAAUCCAUAUCUUAAAAAAAUCCAUCAUCUUGUGCAGAGUUUUGUAAUCAGAUAAUUGCCACCAUGAAUAGUUCUUCAAUUAUCCAUGUUGUGAUAUAAAUGCAAUACUAUGUUAUUGCACAUACUAACUCGGGCCGAAGCAGCUAGAUUGCCAAUCUCCGUCCCAGCGAUUUUAGAAGAAUAUUCAAUGGAAGCAUUAAAUCACACGAGAUGAGCAGAACUCAGAGAUGUCUCAACUAUAUCGUCAAAUACAUGCGUGUAACAGAGUUAUCAAUGAAUUUAACAGCUCCAUUACAAGUGUAGCAGGAAUUGAAGACCUAAGUAAUGAUUAAAGCAAAAGACAAAAGAAAAAGCGACACUUCCAGUUACAAUAGUGCAAAACUUCUGAAGGUAUUCACCAAACCUGAAGUGAAAACAAAAUGAGAAAGGAUGCAACUUACCAGUCGCUGCAGCCUUCACAUUGCACCAUUAAGUCAUCAGGAUUAUAAGGCAUCUCGCAUUUACAAUACCUGCAACGAUUGGUCUAAAGUCAGAUGUCUGGAAGAGAAAAACAAGAAAAAUGCAGCAAUGAUGCAAUUUAUAACAUCCAAUGAACAACUUCUGGUCAGCCAUUAUACUAUAAUAUCAACCAGAAUCAGUAAUUUAAUCCGCCAUUAGAAUGAGUAAAUUACACGGGAAGAAAACAAGGAAAAAGAGAUAGCUUUUAUGAAAUCAUCAAACAGUGCAACACAAUCCCGGACUAUGGCUCUUUGGAUAACGAAGAAAAAAAGUCAUACAUACACGGCAACUCUGUCCGGAUUGAAAGCUCCAGUGGAGGAGUUAUACUCGAACCGGCAAAAGAAGUCGUCAUUCCCAACAGCGUCAAGCUUGGUGUAGCUCUUGAAACUAUGGACGGUACAUUUCCCUUCGAUCGUAUCGGCGCUCUGAAUAUCGCAGUGGUCAGAGAGGAACACUUCCUUAGAGCCAUGGAACUGCCGGCGGUCCGCCAUUGGUUUCUCCAGCGCGGUNNNNNNNNNNNNNNNNNNNNNNNNNNNNNNNNNNNNNNNNNNNNNNNNNNNNNNNNNNNNNNNNNNNNNNNNNNNNNNNNNNNNNNNNNNNNNNNNNNNNNNNNNNNNNNNNNNNNNNNNNNNNNNNNNNNNNNNNNNNNNNNNNNNNNNNNNNNNNNNNNNNNNNNNNNNNNGCGCGGAGCGUGAAGUGAGCGGAGAGGGCGGUGGCGGUGGCGGGUGUAGCAGCUGCUGGCGGAUGACUGUAAACUGUUCAGGAAACUGAUGACACAAACUCGCAGAGAACAGGGAGAGAGCGGAUAUUAUUAUUUUUUUCCGUUAAAUUUUUUGAAAUUACAUUUUCCAUAAUUUUUCCAAGUUGAUUUCAGCCCCGUCGGAUUGGAUGAUUGUGAGGGUUAGGAUCGGAAAAAUGGGCGAGUGUGUGGAAAUGAACGAUGGUGGAGGCUCCACGUCAGCGUUAGAUUUGGUAAGGUUUUUAUUUGAAAAAUAAAAUUGGAAGUGUGCGUUGCGGAGAGUGGGGACCACCAUGCGGUAAGCCAGAAGGUUUUGAUUGGGUGUUGGCGGAUGCAGAGUCAAAAGGAAAGUCGACAGAUGGUGUCCGACCACGUCAUCAACAGCCCAGAGUAGCUCUCCACGUCAAGUUAGGUUGUCACUGAGUGCCACGUCUUCCUUCUCGAAAUCUUCGAAGGUAUCCGUUCGUGAUACAACAACGAGAAAUGCAUCCGAUUUUUCAGCUCGAACCGCAACAGAAUAUAAUAAGUUUCAAAGAGAAACAUACAUCAAAAUUAUAAGCUAAACUGAAGGCUGCAUUAAGUACGCUACGCUCUAACAAGAGUCAAUCAGACAGAUACACAUAAUAGUUGACUUGGUUACUUAACCAAGCUUAAACUGACAGUAGAUGAACUGAUAAAACACAGACACACAAUGACACAUAGUUUAACUUGGAUACUUAGCCAAGCCUUGAGCAUAUAGUGAAAUGAGCUGAUGAACACAAACACAGAUAAUAUUGUCUAAGUGGAAGUAGCAGAGACAGUUAGGAUCAGAGUCCACAAUUUGCAGCAGCAGCGGCAGAUUCAGUGAUCCGAAACGCGGAAGAUGUGAGAUUUCAUGAAAAACUCCCCGGGAUUCACAAGCUCAAAGAGGCAGACGUCCCCCGGCUUCAGAUCAUUCUCAGCUCUGAAAUCUCCCCACCCAAGUCCCAAAUUCAGCCCUCCUCGUUCCCUCCUGUUGAGCCGAAUCACCCACUCCUUGCUCCCGCGGGAAUCGAACACUAUCAUGUAGCUGCACUCUGGUCCCAGAUGAGCAUUCGCAAAUUUGCCGGGAACGUACUACAUUAUCGUGACACCAAAAAGACAGAACAUAAGUGUUGGUUUCUAAAACUCUUGCAUCCAAUAACAGAAAAAUCGAAUGAUGCACUUACUCCGACAGGGAGUAUGAAGUUGUACGGUUUAAUCACCAGCGUCCAUGACGGAUUCUUCAGACUCAGCUCCAUUGCAAUAUUAAUGGUCCGCUUCUCUGAUCCCGUAGCUUUAUUGCGGAUCUGUUUAAAGCUGGUAGCAACUAUUGUUUCAAUUCUAAACCCUGAACCUGAUCCCUCCCCAACUUCAUUUCUCACUGCAACAUCUUUUAAACCAACAGAUAAAAAGUUAAAAGAUCCAUGCUUUGCAGUUAUUUCAAGAAAGGAACAAAAAGAGCAUGAAACUGAUGCGGAAAGAUGUUUACUUGGAGGCCUAUGAUCAUCACCAGCUGGGUAAACGAUUUCGCAAGCAUUUGGAGUGUAGAUCCGAACAUGGAAGCAGGAAUCGCCUUUGUACUUGAACACCAACAGAUAGGCGUAGCAGAUCGAGUAGCGGGCUGCGAAUGCUGACCAGCCCUGGCUAAACCAUGUGACUCCGUCACACGUCUUUUGAACCAUGAUCUCCCAGGUUUUUCCAUCCGGAACUUUGAAAAGCACUUUUCUUCCGAGCUCGUUGCCAUGCUUCUUCAGGAAUUUCUUUGGCAGAUGCUGUCAAUGAAAUUCAAAUGAUUUUAUCAACCAUGCUGAUUUCCACUACAAGAAAAGCCAAGCAGCAAUGUCUAAACAGACUAGAGGAUAAGACCAUAUUUUCCUUGGGCGGUUUCAGAUCCGGUUCUUCCUACAAUUUCAGAUUAUAUUAUCACAGAAGAGAAGUCGAAAUAUAAAGAUGAAUACAGCAGAAACAGAAUCCAAACACACAAGAACUGCAUAGAAACACCAGAAUAGGGGAAACAAGUGAAGCUGAAAACAAUAAGAAAAAAAGAGAUUUAGCAAACUGCAAUACAAAACAGAAGACCUCCAUUACCACAGAGAAUGCAUGCAGAGAAGCCAUGUUUGCUUACCAGCUUAUUCUCAUCAAUGGAUGAUUGAAGUAUGAUCUUGAAGAAAUUUCGAGAGCCCAUGCUCCUGCCUCGUUCUUUGAUUCACUAGAGUGAAUUGGUUGUGAAUUACUACAGCUUUCAAAAUAAUACCAGCAUUGUUAGGUUUGCUUUUAUUUUUCACUGCUUGGCCACUUUUACCAUGUUUAGAUAAAAGAUACAUCCAUAAAACAUUGAAGAUGAAUGGACAUUUGUGCCAUUUUCAGCAAUGUAGAUGGUGACCUCUUAGCUAUAUUGUUUUAUUGCUUUGUCAAAGCUUAGCUAGGAAUGGAAACAGUAAAAACUAUGUGAGCUAUCUAAUAAUGGACCCAAAAUCUGUUACAAGUUUGAUGAUAUCACAUUUUUUUAAAAAGACGUCAACUUGCAUAAUUAUUGUGAUAUUGAAAUUUGAAACAAGAGUUACCUGCUCCAGUUCAUUGCGUUCUGCUUCUGGUUGUUCCUUGCUGCUAACUUCGCCUGAAACCGUUCUUCUUCGGUCGUAUUAAUCAGCUCAGUCUUGUCGUUUCACUCAGGAGCAUGACUCUUUCUUCUUCAAACGAAUGGCAAGCUUUCCUAUGUGUACUCUUCCUCUAUCUCCGGCGGUACUUUUCCUUUCACAUGAAUGAUAAAGACAUAAAGCAAGGAAUAUGAAAGGUACAUCUGAAAGCAUAAAGAGAGAAAAAAAUGCAUCUGGUUACAGAAAAGGACCAUCAUGGCGCCAAUCCAAGUUCUCCUGACAAUGACUAGCAAUCUCUCAUUCAAAGCUUAAAAGUUCAAACUUAAACCAAAGAUGACGAAAUUGACAUGUAGUCUACUGCUCACAUCACAUGGGUUUAAUAAUUACCCUGCUACUGGCUUUUACUAAAGAAAAUUUAACACAGUCAAAAUGACAUUGAUGCAAGUUUCUAAACAUUUAAUAACUCCGGCUGCUACAACAAACACAUCAAAUUAUAGUGAAACCCACAAAAAACAGGUUAUGUAAUACUGAUGCCAGUAAUCUGGAAAUAAAGACGAACAGACUUAUUUCAAAAAUGAAACAUGAAGCAUCUUGCUUUUCCAUACUAGUUCGUUCUUUUCAGGUCAUUACUAGCGACCUUGUCAAAAUACAAUCAAAGGUAAGAGAUUCUAUGUAAUGCAGCUUAAAGGUAAAUGCUAGCACCACAUACUGGUCUGCACUACGUAAAAUAUAUAUGCUACUCAAUUGGGAAGUCGAGAAAGAAUCUAUCUCUGGUUUCAAUGGCCAGAACUUUGUGCCAGGCAGAAAGAGCCCCCGGAAUAAAGCAUUUGGUAAACGGGCCUUAUUCUCAUCGUCAAUAUUAUGCUCAAGAGAGUUCCCAGUCCACAUAGGGCAGCAAGAGCCAGGAACGUCACUUUAAAGCAAUCAGGGCCUACACAGGUGGAGCUUCCUUGCUUAGAAGCUUCUAUAUCAUACAUUGUACCGGCGAGUCCUCCUGAGAAGAGAAGUGCACCAACGGGGUUUCCUAAUAGCACAAAGUUGUAAAUGAUACCAAAAUGCCUCAGGCCGAAGAGCUCGGAAACAGUUGGAACCAUCACAGAAUAGAGAAUUCCAUAACAGACACCAAUCAGAGCAGUUGCUGCGUACAGAACUCCCUUGACGGCAAAAGCAAACAUGAUAAAGAUUACAACCAUGAUUGCUUGUGCAACUGUCAUCCACACAGUUCUCGGAGUUGUGCUUGACCUGCAAACGUCAUACGUGUAUUAUGAGGAACGAUUAUUCCAUGAAAUGAACAAGUACAGAAUGGUUAAGGAACCGAACCUGACAAAGUACUCGGAUACAACACCGGAUCCAAGGCGUCCAGCAAAAUUACAGAAGCUGAAGAGGGCAAGCAGCAUUGUUGUGUCAUUAAGUCCAAAUGCAAUCCCGAUCUGGGCCAAGUUAUUGAGGACAGUAACUCCAGAACCAACUCCAAGAAAGUAUACCACCCAAAGAAGCCAGAAAUCAGCUUUCACUAGAGCCUCGCGAAAUCUGAAGUCCUCACCUCUCUUGGGUUUCCUUUUCUUCUUCACAGCUCCCUCCCCAACAGCAAGAAGUGUAUCAACAUCUGAAGAAUCCUCAUUCUCAAGGAAACUCCCAAGAUAGGCCGCCGAUGAUGAUUUUUCCAACAAAGGCUCCGUUGUGGUCGAUUCACCACCUUCAGCAAGAGCAGGAAGGUCCGAGGCAGAAUUCGGUGAGUUGCGUUUCUUAGGGUUGGCAGGGAAGAGAGUCAUUUUAAUAGGAAUCACCAGAGGAGAGGCCAUAAUAACGACCAUUAUAGCAACCAACGUGUAGGAAGCAGCAUUGCCAAUGGAAAACACAUCAGUCACUAUUGUGGUUGUGAGAAGAUAUAUGGCAAGCAGAACGCUUGCAGCCUGAGUAAAAACAAAAUGGACAUGCACUGAAGAGUCUUCCCCGGAAGCUGGAGUACACACCCGGAUGAAAUACAUCAUCACCAGAGAUAUAAUUGGGAUGCCAAGAGUGAGCAUCAACACAAAAUCAGAAGCUGAGUCCUUAAGCACCAUGUUGUAUAACACCGUAUAUACUGCAGCAGAGAGUCCAACGUAGCCUUUGAGUAUACCAGAAACAGUUCCUCUGCUAAGGGGAAAGUUUCUCAUAUUAGUUACGAGCACGGCUGUGCCAAACCAUGCAUUGCUAUUUGUACCAAUGACAAGCGCGAUCCAUACCUGCAGCAUCAGGGCAGGGAUUAACUGAAGUCAGCUCCUCCGCUAAAGUCUAAAGAUGAAAUCCGAAACCAGUAAAGAAAGAAGAAACUGUUUAGACUUUUAGCCUUCUGCACGGUUGGAAGAAGCUUCGUGAGCAGACAAACUAAUACUAAAUUACUAAACCAUGGUUAACAUUAUGUUGAGCAAAGAUCUUUUCUCGAAUGUUGUCAGCUCUUCAGCACAUUUCUCGAGUCCACUAAGCAUGAACUGGUCGAAAACCAGAUAAAACAAGUCGAUUCAAUCUACCUGGCCGAUUCUGAUUGUUCCCACCUACCAUAAUUCGCCUCAAAAUCGCCUAUCAAAGAGAGCUAGAGAUCUAUCAUCAACAAAAUUUCCAUCUAUGUGAACAAAAUACACACAAAUAUAACUCUUGCUCUGAGUCCAUGUUCCUUCUGCACCCAUUAUACAUUUGACAAAUGUAGAAUUACAGCAGGAACUUCUAUUUCCACACCAUGCAAUCAAUACACAACUAACUGGAGCUAGUAAAACAAAACGGAAAGAUCCAAACUAUAUAUAGAAAGUCAAUUCAAGUUCCGUAGCAGAUCAAACUUAAUCCUGAAAUUAGAAACUCCAACUCUAAUGGGAGUAAUAGGAGCUCACAACGAACCAAAUUAGUAAUCAACACGACCAAGAUCAACGACUAUCCUGCAAUCCGACGCAGCCAAACAAGCUGAUUAGAUCAGCCUAAUUCAACGUCGGAUCCAAAGCAAGCUGAGUAGAUCACAGGAUACAAUCAUACAACAACCAAAAAAAGCAAGAACAGAUAGAUGUAGGAAGUAGAAUUGGGGAGUGAGAUGAUCACUGACCAGCCAAUAAGGCAGACCGGCGACGGUGUUGCUGACGGUGAGAAAGAUGACGCCGUAUCCCAAAAAGCACAUGACGACGCCGACGAAGAGAACAGCCCAAGGAGGGAACUUGUUGCAGGCGAUGCCAGGGAGCAACCCGACGCUCUCCCCAAUAUCGUUGGCGACACCGAGCAUUGUGAUCUGCUGCUGGUUGAGUCCCAUGGCGGAUUUGAGCGCCGGGGAGUAGAGUGGGAAUGUGUAGCCGUUUCCGGCAGCUACCUCGACCCACACAGCUGCUGCCAAUCCCACCCAUGGCGGCCGGCUACCUCCUUUCACCACGAUGUUCGGCAUCCCCAUCUUCGUCGUCGUUAGUCGACUCCCCCAAUUAGAUUGGGAUUUAGGAAAAGCUCUCUGCUUUGCUUUACAAUCUGGAAAGAAGGAGAGGUGGGUAGUGGCUCUCUGUAGUGUAGGAUUGAAAAUGGGAAGAAUGUUUUGGACCAAUGGGAAUUUGAAACGAGUCAGCAGCAAGCAACUAUCGAGGUAGGUUCAGUUCAGUACUCUGCGUCUUGUACUGUUUUUUGUUUGUUUGUUUGUAUAGGUAGAGGGGAGAAGAGACGAUAGACAUUUGAACGUAAUUGUUCAAUUUUGUUUCAAAGGAGCGAAGUUAGCUCAAUUGAUGAUUACACGUGUAGAGUUUUGAUUUGCUGCCCUCCAAUACUGAAGAGUUAAUGAACUAGCAUAGAGUCUGUGUAUAUUAUUUCUGCAGGCUGGUAAUGAAAACCCUUUGAUUUUUCAGACAUUCCAAAGUAAGAACUGUUAGAAUUGGAGCCUAGUGAUAAGAAGCAGCAAGGUCUCGAAGAGCUUCAGCAGAUGAAGGGUCAACUGCCACUCUAAGUUGACCAUGUUGUUUGUGAUGCGUUGUAUUGAUUAAAUUCUGUUAUUGACUCUAACAAACUUGUUAUUUCUGCAGGCUGGUAAUGUUGUUUGUGAUGAGUUAAUGUAACACUUUCUGUAAUCAUCAUUUCUUAACUCUCUGAAUUCACAAGAAUGCUGAAAACCUCAAGUAUCAUUCCAGGUUGCCUGAUGAUUGGUUUUUCUAUAAGGACACAACUCCUCAAUAUUAUUUUCGAUCCUAGUUCUGGGAAAUAUAAAGUUUUAUGUAUGUGGUGGAACCUUGAGCCCAAUAUCACUACACAUUGCGAGUUCUUGACUAUAGGGGAAGAGGAAGAGGAAGGGAGUAGUAGGUGGAGAAUAAUUGACCCCCCUAAACCUGAAUGGAAUCACCGCAGAGCCGCCGAUAAUGCUUAUGCAAAUGGUUCCAUAUAUUGGCUUGAUAAGCAAAAAUUCCAGGGAGAUUCUGGGGUUGGGGAGACUUGUGAUUCCUUAAUUGCAUUUGAUCUUGGGUCCGAGAAGUUUAGGAGGAUCCUCAUUCCCAAGUUCGCACAUUUAGAGGCGGAGGAGCAUGCUACCGAGUACGGAUCAAAGGAAAUGGCCAUACUUGCAAGAUAUGAAGCGGUGGAAACGGGAUAUGACUUUCCUACUGAGUUGUACUCCUACGCCCGGUUAAAAGAAAUGGAUGGGUGUCUAACCCUGAUACGUCGAGAAAAUCAUACGGUGAAGAUGUGGAAGUUUCAUGAUUAUAAUGAGGAGAAUGGAAUGCCUGCUGUCAGUAGUGAAAAAGAAGAUUGGACGGAAAUGGAGGAUAUCAGGCUACCUUGCGAUAUAACUUUUGAUGUCUUUGUUUACUUCCGCCCCAUACCUGGAAAGCGCCAGCUCAUCUUGGAAACCUAUAUUUCAACAGAAUUCACCCCCAUGGAUUUUGAGCAUGACGAAUAUUUCAAUAGAAAUGUGAAGUUUGCCCGAUUUUAUUCGUACAAUAUGACAAACAAGACUUUCAACAGGUUAAGAAUCAAUGGGGUUUCCUCUCUUCCGGAUAACAGCAUAACUAUAUGUGCACCUCUUGUAGAAAGUCUAUUGCCCGGUGCAAGAUUCGUGAGCUGAGCCCGAGAGUUGAAGGUAAUAAAGUGCCUCAACUUUCCUUCUUGGUAGUGUGGUUGGAACCCUUGUUUAUAAGUUGGUCACUUGUGAUUAAUGAUUGUGUGGCAUGACUUUGGAUUUCGGUAGGUCGUUCUCUGAUAUAGCAGCUUGCUCUGUGAUUUGCCAAUGCAUCUAUUUAUCUAGUGUUCAUGUCGAUUGUUUGUGAUUUACAGAUAUUGGGCGCCAGGACUGCAAAUGGAGUUUCGUUUGGUGGGUUUCUAGUGAUGUUUAUCAUGUUAUUAUGAUUAUAGUUUUGAGGAUAUUUAUUACUUUUGAAGACUCAGUUUUUACGAUAUUUAUAUUUAUUAUUUAUAAUUUUCAAGAAUCUUAUCUUAUGGGUCUGAUCUGCAGACUCGAGUAGAAAAUUACUGAGAUUUCAGUUAUGUAUUUCAGUUUCUUCUGAGACUUAUUGGGUUUUUGUAUGCAUCAUUUCGUUUCGUUUGAUUCUUGCUCGAGCCGGAUGAUUAUAUGUCGGUAUCAUCCGUUCGUCCUCACUCGCUGAUGACAACAGUUAAAACAUCAUCAUAGUGAUCAUGAGACAAACUCUUCCGGUGCCUUGCAUCUAGCUAGGGGAGAAUUGGUAUCAAUGUCUAGGUGUGCACUUGACGAAUAUAUUGGAUCGAAUGCAUCUUUUUUUUUCUCGAUGACAUAUUAUUAUGUACCAGCAAUUAGACGAUUCUUGGUUGUUGGAUGUUGAUACUGAUAUUUGAACACUACAUGUAUGGCCGUUAACGAGCGGCUCGGUGUUUGGCUCGUAGAUCGUUUCUUCGGGACUCUGCUCGAAAGUAAACAAGCCAAGCUUGAGCCAACUCUGAUUCGACUCAGACCAGCUCAAUAACUAGAGAAAACAUAAUACUGCCAGAUGCUCAUGUGGAGGACGAACGAACAAACAAACAAUCGAGUAAACUGUAGCGGACUGAGGGAACUCGCCGGAGGACUUGGAGAAUCGAUGGGAUCCGAGUCGGGCGAGGCAGUGGAAAGCCAACUAUCUGGACCCGAGUCGGGCUGAUAGUUAAGCAGUUAACUGCACAUUUCAACACUAAAGAUUACAGACAGAUGAACCAGCAUUACCACCCUACAUAUGUUCAACUGUAAAACAUUGCCACUGAUGUAUCAACGAGACAUUUCGAUUUAAGGAACAGAACUGGGAUUGAAAAAUACACCGAAUGAGAUUCAAAGUAGAAAAAAGUUGCAGUACAUUGACGAAUAAAUAGUGAAAGAGUGAAGGUGCAUUGCAGCAUUUCAGCUGAUCUUUCGAACUUAAUGAUGUAAACAAUCAACACAGAUGAUAGUACACAAAACGGCCACAAGGUUUUGAAAGGUCUCCAAUGGGGCCAAAAGGGCAACAAGUAGCAGCAGCAAUACUUGUUAUAGUCUAAAUCAUUCCUUCCCGAAAUCAGCAUUGUAGUGAGAACUUGAUUCGAGUUUCUUCGCUUCAUUCAACUUUCUGACGGCCUGCAACAAAAAUUCAGAACCAAACAUCGUUGUUAUACGUUGGACAGCCUUUGAAAUAAUCGCACCGUAAAAAGUUUGUAUUGAUCAUCGCAAGAUCUUACCUUCAUGAAAUCUUCAUGGAUGACAUAGUCGCGUUCUGCACGGAUUGCAGACAUGCCGGCUUCGGUACAUACAUUACGAAGAUCGGCGCCAUUGAAACCCUGGAAAACAGCAAAAACACACAGUUAGGAUCCACACUAUCAAAUGAAAUUUCUAGUAAAUUAGAGACAAGAAAUUUCGGUAUCACCUCAGCUAGUUUCACAACUGCUUCAUAGUCGAUUUCGCCGUGUUUGGCAAUGCCAGCAGCAUGAAUCUUGAGAAUUUCCAUCCUCGACUGCUCAUUCGGCAAUGGAAUCUCGAUCUUCCUGUCUAGACGGCCCGGGCGAAGAAGAGCAGGAUCCAGAACAUCCGGUCUGUUGGUUGCCAUGAUCAUUUUAACCUAAGCAAAGCAAUCGAAGUUUAGUCGCCAUGAUCAGGAAAAACGGUAUGCACGCAAUAGAAUAUCAAAAUGAAAACAAAGAUACCUUGCCGAGCUGGUCAAAUCCAUCCAAUUGAUUAAGCAACUCCAUGAGAGUUCGUUGAAUUUCACGAUCAGCGCUCGUCCCUUCGCUGAAACGUCGUCCACCAAUGGCAUCGAUCUCGUCCAUAAAUAUGAUGCAUGGCUUCACAAGCAAGCAAAAGCUUCAGUAAGUGAAAGAAAAGCUUGACAUACUUAUCAGAAAAGUGAAAACAGUUACAAUCGAAUUUAGACGCUCACUUGAUGAUCGCGAGCGUAAUUAAACAUCUCUCGAAUCAACCUCGCGCUUUCACCAAUGUACUUGUCGAUUAUAGCACUAGAUACAACCUGUAUAUCCAUAACGUAGAAAAAAAUUAGGUUAAGAAAAAAACACACGCAAUUUGAAUGAAGACGACAAACAAGGUUUAUGGUGUUUUGACCUUUAGGAAGUUGGCAUCGAUGUUGCUCGCGAUUGCCCUGGCUAACAAUGUUUUCCCAGUUCCUGGAGGUCCGUAAAGGAGAACACCCUUUGGAGGCUUAAUCCCCACUCUCAGAAAGAGUUCAGGAUUCAUGAGAGGGAGUUCUAUGGAUUCUCGGAGCUCCCGAAUCUGAUCCGACAACCCUCCAACAGCAGAGUAGCUAACAUUACCGGGGUCUUCGUGGAGCAUGUUGUAUACAACUGGAUCAACCUACAGAGGGAAUAACUUUAGUAAAAAUUCAAACAACAGAAAGUAGUCGGCUUAAAUUUCCUCUAACUGUUUGAUACUUACUUCUCGGGGAAGAGCCCUCAUGAUCGUCAGAGUAGUCAUAUCAAGAACAACGCGAGUUCCAGCAGUCAGCUUUUCUUUGUCCACUUUGCUACGGCAGCCAACCACAUACCUCGGACCGCUGCUUGCUUUAACUAUCACUGAAAUUAAGACAAAGCAGCUGACGUUGAGCAGUGUUUCCUUAAACAACUGAUGAAGUAACAAGUUAUGAUGAAACAUACAUCACGAACCUCGCUUGUGAUCAAGAUAAGCAAAACGAAGAAAACAGAUUCAAAAAUUACGAGCAAGAUCAUGUUACAUACUGCGUUCAUUGUCAAGUGGCCUAAGUACUUCGCCAAUGAUCUGUCCAACACUCUGUAACGACUUCAGGUCAUCCUCGGUUUUCGCAUAUUCCUUCUUUGAAACCCGCAAACUGUCUUUUGCUGUACCAUUAAAGAUGAAGACAGUCAUACACUUACCGAUACAGAAAAAAUUACACUCACCAACUAUUCGAUACAAUGCUUAUGAGUUAUGACAGAAACGAUGCUAAUUCUAAUUGAAACCCUACUGGAACUGUUCCAACUGACUCAACAUCCAAAACAAGCAUAACUCAAUCCCAUGAUAACUGCACAAAGAUCACACCUUUUUCGUCCGUCUCAAUACAGAAAAGAUAACCUAAACUGCUUCCUGGCAAUUCUUCCAUUAAAAGUUCAGAAAUUGGUUAAAAAAAACACAAACCCUAAAAAUCCAGUGACCUAACCCCACAUCGGUAAACCACCAGACACCAUCCAUAAGAGUUCGAUCGGAAUGCAGAAAGAGGGAAAUCGAUGAAGGGGUCAAUCACCUGCGCGACUUCUUGAUUCGAGUUCCCUCUGCUGAAGGAGCUUCUUCCGAUACUCGGCGACCGCAGUACGCCGCCUUCCGGCUUCUUCGCCUUCAGUGGUAGACAUUAGUCUCCGAUGAAUGGGAAGAGGGUGUAUUCAGAUUUUGGCGGAUCGGUGGAGUUGGAGAUUCGAGUGAAUGUUUCUCUUCCCAGCUUAGUGUGAGACCUGCGAGAUCAAAGUUCUGUUCUUUAUCUCUGGACUUGUCUAUCAAGAAACGAAUGCCCUCCUCCUGGAUAAAAGCGUAAUUUUCUUAUUUAUCUCUUGCAUAAUCCUUUCCUCUUGCAGAAAGGAGAACGACUGAAAGGACUUAGAUUUCAGGUCUCAAGUUAUACAUCUUUGUUUCUAUUUCAUGUAACAUGUCUUAGACAAAUAAAAAUAAAAAUUCAUGUAACAAGUAUGUUAUAUGUAGCUUGUGUGUUGCAUCUCACUUUAGUUUGAUAGCCAUUCUGUACUCCUUGGAGUGCUUAUAAAAUGGACUAAUGUGCCCGAAUAUCCUUGACUUGUUCGGAUUUUAAAGUGUGACACAGAUAUGUUAGUUCGUGGAUCUUUAGAAGAUGUUGGAUUGAAAAUAUAUGGAUCACAUGAAAAUAGUGUUGCCUAUACUUUGUAUAUGUUGUUAUUGUAUACAACUCAACCAUAAGUGAUGUUUUGUCUUUUAGGAAUUGAGAGUCCGGAACUACGUUAUCUAAAAUAGCAAGUCUCAUCUUCGAUCUCCGCUACAAGAAUUUGUUCGCCUAACAUUGGAUGGCAACUUGAUAUUAGAUGGGGCUUUAUGGUAGCGGUUUUGGUUUUACAAUUUUGUAACGACGUUUGAGAGGCUGUUUUUAGAUGAAUUCAUUUAACAACGAUUGGAUUACGCUACGUUGUUAGGUGAUUAUUUAUAUUUGUAACUUCAGCUAACAAAAUAUGUUUUCUGAAGGUUAAGUAACGUUACUUCUUUUUAAUAAAAGUAUGUGAACCAUUAUUAGGAUCUUUAGCGGUUAUUAAGCGACGGUUAACAUGAGGGGAAAUUGUUAUUAGACAUACAAUUUUUUAUAGUACUCAUGUUUAAUGGGUUUUAAAAUUUGAUUAUUGAAAUUGGGGUUGGUUAGUGGUUACUUUUGGGUGUAAAACAAAUAUAAUUUGAUAUUAAAAUGAGUUUGAUAGAUGAAAAUAUUUGAUGUUUAAGAGUGUAAUAAAUAUUUCAUGAUUGAUAUAUCAUUCAUAAAUGACGAUUGGUUUUCUAAAUUUUAUCCAAACUCCCUUCAUCAUUGUAAUAUUACACUAUUAAUUUUCUAUCGAAAGAGAUUGACGUCAGCAUGAACAAGACCUAAUCGUAACAUGACUUGAAGUUAUGAGAAUAGUACCCUGAUCAAAACGAGAGGGUAAAUUAAGUAUUUGAUUAUUACCAAUUUACCGUAUACUCUGUUAAUUCUCUAAAAAGAAAGAAAAAGUGAGCAAUUUUAACUGUACUGUCCAUUUGUUCAAGUUGAACCUUGGAAUCCUAAACCUUCCGUCGCCGGCGAUUGGCGAAUUACGCCGCCGUCGCGUAGUCGCCACUCUCAACCAUCUCCCUCCCCGACGAAACCACCUCGAUUGUCAGCUGAUCACCACUCACCCGGAGAAAUUUCAGCCAUACUUCCUCUGAGUUGUAAGUGGUAAAAUCCGAUAGCGACUCCCCUGUACCACUCUUUGUCCAUUUGCGCGCCGCUUUUUUCCUGUUCCCCAAGAUUCUAAGCAAUCGCUUCUUUGCUUUUGCUUGUUUAGACUGCAAAUGGAAGCUGCAUUAUGUUUUUUGCCCCCAAAUGGCACUGUUCCUACUCCAGAAGGUACUCUUUCUCAGCUGUGUAUUUCUUGGUUCAACAUGCUAUGAGGACUAUCUGGAAAAUUUCUUGUUAGCGUGAGGCUAAUUCAUAUACCUGUGCAUGGCCUAUCAAUGAUUUGUGCCAGUCUUUCGUCUUGUAUGUUGUGAUGUUAAAUGCAGUACUGGUGUAUUGCAGUAUGAAUUUGAGUCUGAAUGGGCUUUUCCUUUCCCCAUUUUUCUGUUUCCCAGUGAUUGGAGGAUAACGAGAAAUCGAUGUUUCUUGGGAUUUUUUAUUUUCAAGAAUUUAACCAAGCAUAUGAGAAUGUGUUUCUGUUGUAGCAACUAAGACGAUUUGAUUUCGUCUGGUAGUCUGGAUAUUAAGUAGAAGGAAUUGAGAUUUUAGAGGGACGGAGGAGUUGGGGGUUAUGAGUUUUAAUUCAUUGAAAUUUUGACCUAAAGUAGAAGGGAGAGAAAAGGUUGCGUGAAACAUAGUCGCUUAUGUCAAAUAUUCAUUUGAGUAAAUACUGCCUGAAAUUGACGAGUAUAUUUUUACGCAAAUCAUCGCUCAUUUGUGUGUCAUCUGCCGAUGCUAUCACUGAUACCUCAUUCAUUGUGCAAUUCCAUGUUCCCGCAGAGUUUUGUUCUAAAGGCCGUAAACGCAUUAAACUAUCCCUCGACUCUGGAAAGUCCAGUAAAACAGGCUCCUCUAAUAUGGUGGAUUACUCUGAUCCGUUUGCUGCAUCCAAUACGAUCCAGAUGCUUGAAUCUGGAGUCUAUGGAAGUGUUACUGAAGAAAUCAAAGCUUUAGCUACGCACAAGCUUCGGGUUUUGCAGCACUAUCUGCAGAAGUAUCCAACGCUUUCUAAUAUAUUUUGGGACGAAGAGAAGAUCUCAGCUGAAGAUGCUGCAGACGUACAGACUAACUUUGUUGAUCUUGACGAUGCAAAUGUCCUACGUAGUGCUCCAGCUGCAGCAGAUCGGAUUGUAAUCAUUGACUCGGAUGAUGAAGACAAUCAAGAUCGGCGGGUGGUUCUUCCAUUCCAGGAGGUGGCCUUGCCAAAGCCCGAUGGACAAUUUGUCACCGAAAAGGAGGUACGUUUAUGUUAUUGAAGCGUUUUUUAGUCACCUAAAAAUCAAAAUGCAGUUUGAGAUCACUAAAAUUAUGUUUGCAUUGCAUGACAAAUAAUUUCUUUUAUUACAGAGGAAGUUGUAUUGCUUUUUCCCACGACAUAGACCCCAAUGCACACAAUUUAGUAACUCUGUUGGUUAGGCUUUGUACUUGUUUGUGAAUCUUAGAAAUCUCUUCUUUGGGGAAUUUUCCUUUCAGAUAGUUCUGUUUCUUAUUGUUCAGCUCCAGUUUGAGUGUUUUAGUUCUGAUUCAUUGGACCUUAUUAUUAUCGCACUGUACCAGUAUAAUGCCCUUCAAAUGGAUAUCAAGCAACGAGGAAUGCCAACAAGGGUUGGUGUGGAACUGGGAGGCAAGAAAGAACGUGAGACCAAGAAAGAACUUGAGACCAAAAAAGAAUUCGAUAUAGAGAAGGAUGAAGGGGCUUAUGUUGGUGUCACCGAUGAUGACAAUGACCAUGCCGAGACUAAUGACGACGGUCUCGGUGAUAUUUGGCAAGAAAUGUCCCUGGCCUUGGAAUGUGGCAAGGUAAUUAUUUGUGUCAUGUUUACAAAUUUCUAUUUACGUUUUCCUAUGCUUUUUGUAAGGUUGUGAUUUUGCAGACAUGUCCAGAAGUUCUCCAUUUCUUAUGUUUCUAUCUGCAUUUUUGUAGGAGGUGGCAGAGCACCAUUCAUCUGAUGAUUACAUAGAAGAGGAUGAUGAAGCGUGUGAUCAUUCUUUCAUCUUAAAGGAUGAUAUUGGUUAUGUCUGCCGCAUCUGUGGAGUUAUCGAGCGAGGCAUUGAGAGCAUAAUUGAAGUGCAAUUUUAUAAGGUAAGCAUAUUCAACUUACUGUAACUGAACCUUUUCUGUUUUCAGCCGUUCAAGAUGUGAAUUUACAAUUCUUUGCUCUCAUGGAAUUGUUGAUGAUGCCUUGACUGUUAGUUUGAUUCAAUUUCAUCCAACAUGAGUGUUUUUUGUGAAGCGUUACUUGCACUUGUUGUCUCAUCUAUAGGUAUCAAGAGGUGUGAUUUAUGUUGCUUUCUUAAUGAACUCACAUGAAAUUAUACAUUUUCCAUUGAUGGGCUCUCAGCUGGUUCUUCCACUGAAAUAUGACCUAGCUGGUUAUAAUCCACUUUGUUGUAUAUGUUUGCCAACUCAGGCAAAAAAGAGCACGAGAACCUCAAUCAGUUCGCGGAAUGCAAACCGAGAUUCAAACGACGGAGUCGGAAUUCAACUGUCCGAAGAAGACCUGAUGGUGACUGAUAUCUAUGCCCACCCAAGACACAAGAAAAAGAUGAAACCUCAUCAGGUGGAGGGUUUCAAUUUUCUUUGCAGUAACCUAGUAGCAGAUAAUCCCGGAGGCUGCAUAUUGGCUCAUGCACCUGGGUCCGGGAAGACAUUUAUGAUUAUAAGUUUCAUGCAAAGCUUUCUAGCCAAAUAUCCUCACGGCAGACCUUUGGUGGUUCUCCCAAAAGGGAUAUUAACUACAUGGAAGAAGGAGUUUCAAAUAUGGCAAGUCGAAGAUAUCCCAUUGUACGACUUUUAUAGCGUGAAAGCUGAUAGCAGACAGCAGCAGCUGGAAGUUUUAAAGCAGUGGGUGGAGGAGAAGAGUAUUCUCUUCUUAGGUUACAAACAGUUCUCUGCUAUCAUUUGCGACAGUGGAAACAGCACAACUGCAGCUAGUUGUCGAGAGAUAUUGCUCAAAAGACCGUCGAUUCUCAUUUUGGACGAAGGGCACACUCCUAGAAACGAAAAUACCGACGUUUUGCAAUCUCUCGCCAAAGUGCAGACUCCUCGGAAGGUUGUGCUCUCCGGAACCCUGUACCAGAAUCACGUAAAGGAGGUAUUCAACGUGCUGAAUCUUGUUCGUCCAAAGUUUCUGAGGUUGGACGAUUCGAAAGGCAUUGUGAAGCGCAUCUUGAGUAAAGUGAACAUAUCUGGGCUCAAGAAGAACAUUAAAUCCGGUGUCGAUGCGACAUUUUACGAACUGGUGGAGCACACAAUCCAGAAAGAUCCCGAUUUCAAAAGGAAAGUGUCGAUCAUCCACGACCUCCGCGAGAUGACUAGCAAGGUCCUGCACUAUUAUAAAGGAGAUUUCUUGGACGAGCUUCCUGGACUGGUCGAUUUCACUGUGGUGCUUAACUUAAGUAAAAGGCAGAAGCACGAGGUCGAAAAGUUGAAGAAACUGUCGAGAAAGUUUAAACGAAGUGCCGUCGGAAGUGCUGUUUAUCUCCAUCCGAAACUGAACUCGUUCCCCGACAAUGUUUCUGUUACAGACGGUAUGAUGGACGAGCUAUUAAGUAGCUUGAACUUGAGAGAUGGGGUGAAAGCGAGCUUCUUUCUCAGUAUGUUACGUUUAUGUGAGGCGUCGGGGGAGAAGCUACUGGUAUUCAGUCAGUACCUAACCCCAUUGAAGUUUCUCGAGAGACUUGUGGCGAGGGAGAAAGGUUGGGCGUUAGGGAAGGAAAUCUUCGUGAUCUCGGGUGAUACGAGUUCUGAGCAGAGAGAGUUGUCGAUGGAUCGGUUCAACAACUCGUCCGAUGCGAGAGUUUUCUUCGGGUCGAUUAAGGCCUGCGGAGAGGGGAUUUCCUUGGUAGGCGCGUCUCGGAUCCUAAUAUUGGAUGUCCAUCUUAACCCAUCGGUUACUCGCCAGGCGAUUGGGCGAGCCUUCCGACCCGGUCAGCUGAAGAAAGUAUACGCUUAUCGUUUGGUGGCUGCUGAUUCGCCCGAGGAGAAAGAUCACAGCACUUGCUUCAGGAAGGAGGCGAUUGCGAAAAUGUGGUUCGAGUGGAACGAGUACUGUGGUUACCAGAAUUUCGAAGUCGAACAAAUCGACUUGACCGAGUCUGGUGAUCCGUUCUUGGACAGUCCUAUGGUAAAGGAAGAUGUUAGGGUUCUUUUCAGAAGGUUAUCAUCUAUCUACCCUCAAUGUUAUUUGCAUCAAAAGAAUCUACUAAUCAAAGUUUUGCUUACAAGUGAUUUCUUUCGAAUUUCAGGUGACCACAAAUCGGAUCGUCGAAUCUCGUUAUUGUCAGGAGGAGCAGAUUUUAUGAACUGUCGACAAUUUUUUUUGUUAAAGCUAUGCUCUGUCUGUAUAUAGAAGGAACGCAAGUGCUGGAAUGUGUAGUUUUUUCUUUUUGGUUAAGAUCAGUUUAGUUGUCUGGUUCGAUGGUCCAUCCAAUAGGAAGAUGCUGUAAAUGGGAAACUGGCCUAACUUUUGAUGUUUUCGGAACUCGGCAAUUCUAAUGGUAUGUGAUUCAACCGGUUGAAUUUCAGGGUUUUUUUUCUAGUGGAUCUGUAGUUUCUUAAGAUGCAAAGUAUCUGCCAAUGUGAUUAUCAACUUAUUGUCGAAUACUGUUCGGGUGACCGAUUCUUGGAAACCGGUUCGGGUAAGCGCUACCACUUUGUUAUAACCUGCAGCAGUUUCCUCCUCAAUGGCCACCCCCCUGGAGUUGUUGUAUUGGCGGAGCUGCUGAUGAGCUAAAGCCAGCAACUUGUUCGAUCCAUGAUGAGAAUUCAUUUGGCCAGAGUUGUACAAUUUGCUUUCUUCUGAUGUUAUAUAUAUAUAUGUUGCUUUAAUAUUAUGGAUUACAAAUUUCCAUGAAACCAGCUAAAUAUUGAUUUUGGUCACUAAUCUUCUGUAUCACUUGUUCAUUUAUGAUGAAAUUUAUACUAACCUUUUAUUUUAGUCAUAACCGGUUACGUCCACUCUUCAUUCAUAAACCUUUUUCAUCAUAACUUUUUUUUUCAUAAAGAAAAAAUGAAAAAAUAGUUUUCAAUACUAAAGAGAUGAAAAAGGAAUUCUACCUCUCGAAUAAAAAAAAUAGUUUACUUGAUCCUUUAAAUAGGAGGUUGGUUUACUUAAAUCAGAUAAGUUGGAUUAAGUUUGUUUAAUACGUUCUCCUAAAUUAAGUCAAUAAUACAUAUAUAAUUGGUUGGAAGCGAACUCAGAUGAAGAAAACAACUUUGAAGAUGAACCGAAUGAUGAUAAUGUAGUUUUUUUCACCAUCUCUAACUAUCAAAUACGUUACAAAAUACUAUAGAUAUUUGGACGACGAUGCAGUACUUUUUCACUACAUUUUACAAAACCGUUUUAGUAUGGACAGUCAAUUUGUCUUUGAAUCCUCUACUAAAACAAUCCGAUACAAUUUUAAUAUUGUUAUAAUUCAAUCACGAUUUAACUAGUUAAACCACAUAUAUCUUUUAAGUUUCGAAAAUCCGCCAAACUUUCCCCUAUAUUAGAAAGAUAUUUUCAAUUCUCAUAUGCUAAAUAUCCUUACUCGAUUAGGAUUUGGCCACUGUGUCAUAUUGAAACCCAAACAAAACAAAUCUCUGAUCCUCAACCAACCAAUAACCAAACCCCAACUCACCUUCCUGAAAUCUUUUUCCAUCCUCACAAAAGAUUCCACCUUUCUAAGUUCUAACCAUCGUCUUCUUCUUCCUCCACAAAAAAAAAAA
rnacentral:lncRNA from 1 species